rnacentral:lncRNA from 1 species
GGAUGCAUGUAUUAGGCAGUAUGUGUGUAUGGAUGUAGGUAUUAGGCAGUAUGUGUGUAUGGAUGCAUGUAUUAGGCAGUAUGUGUGUAUGGAUGUAGGUAUUAGGCAGUAUGUGUGUAUGGAUGCAUGUAUUAGGCAGUAUGUGUGUAUGGAUGCAUGUAUUAGGCAGUAUGUGUGUAUGGAUGCAUGUAUUAGGCAGUAUGUGUGUAUGGAUGCAUGUAUUAGGCAGUAUGUGUGUAUGGAUGCAUGUAUUAGGCAGUAUGUGUGUAUGGAUGCAUGUAUUAGGCAGUAUGUGUGUAUGGAUGUAGGUAUUAGGCAGUAUGUGUGUAUGGAUGUAGGUAUUAGGCAGUAUGUGUGUAUGGAUGUAGGUUUAGGCAGUGUGUGUUUAUGGAUGUACGCAAUAAGCAGUAUGUGUGUAUGGAUGUAGCCAGUAUGUGUGUAUUAGACGGACCAAACCGGAAUCCCUAUGGCAAAAUUUAGGCCAUAAUAGCUGAUCUAGAAGAAUUCUCCAAUUCGGCUACAGUCACAGUUCAGCUAUUUUUGCUUAAACUUUGCAUUUUGGUUUUCAACUCACCUGCAAUUCACAAUUUAGUGAAUAAACCCCUGUGAGAUUGUAUUUGCUUUCACGAGGAGGCGGCAAAAUGGAUCUUUGCCUAGGGCAGCAGAAAUCCUUGCACCUGACCUGGGCACCACCAUCUGUAUAUUUCAGAUACAUAUUAACCACGUUUAGAUUUAGCUCUUUAAUUCCUUGGAACUGGGUUUGAGGUGUUCAAUAUCUUACCCUACAUUGGCGCAAACUGCAUAUUGAUUUUAAACAUUAGGAAGGUAUUCUAUGCGUGGCAUAGUGUACAUGCUUCAAUACACAUGAUGGGAAUCACAUUUUUAACACAGCAAUAUCACAAGAUAGAGCUCGUAUAGAGUUAUUUUAUCUCAUCAACCACAAAUCUGCUUAUCAUGUUUCUUGUUAUGCACAGUGAUUGUUUCUAUUUACCUCUAUUUUAUGCUUUUCUCUAUUCAGGAUCCAUAGAUGAUGACCUACCUGGCUAUUCUGAUCCAGGUCAAGUCACUCAGGACGAGGAACUUAUCAAUUUGUAAUGUGUUUACGGGCGUUUGAUGGGUUUUCUGUAUUUUGUUAUGCAUAUUCCAGAUCUGAUUUUCAGUCUAAAUAAAAUUACACUUUUGACAGAAAUAUGUGGUGGUGAAAAUAUGUUGCAUGAUGUUUUGUCUGUACCCCCAAAUCUGACUGAUUUAUGAGAAAUUGGAUUUAGUGCACUAAUGUGGUUUGCUGAAUACAAUUAUUACAAUGUAAUUAUAUUAACUUUAAAAUAAUGGAACCUUAGUUCUCUGUUGGCAGACUUGGCAUGUAGAGCUUCUGAUGUACUAAAUCAAGUAAUCCAUGGUUUUUUUUUGUUAUGGAUUUAUUAUUGACUGGAAACUUGUUGGGAUAUUGGGUACUUGUUAUUAUAGCUAUCAUGUUAACAUUAAAUUCCACGAGUUACUUAUGGAGACGCUGAACCAUCAGUGACAGGCUAUAGACACCAGAACUACAUUAAGUUGUUGUUCUAGUGACUAUAGUGUCCCUUUAAACAUUCUGCACUACCCCCAGUGUACAACUUAAUGCUGAUACUGGAGAUUUGUACUGUAACACCCUUGUCAUUUUCUAGUUGAACUUGAUAAGAUGAUGUAACAUACUUUCAACAUCUUUUAACAUUCUUUCCUAAUGCCUAAUUUCUUUGUUGGUAUUAAUAAACACCUUAGAGAGUUUGCAAGUGAUCUGCCAGUAAAGGACUUAACUACUAAACCUGUGUUUAGCAAGGAAAUCCUUUCUAACAGUUCUGAUGAACUAACUAAGGAGUUAUGCUGUUGAAUUGAUGUAAAAUGACAGGAUACAGAACUAUUCUAUCUUUGACAUGGUACACUACAUAUGUUGGGCUGCUUAUUUAUCUAUAUUUCUCAAAAUCCUUGGAGAACCUAGUGAAUAUGGGCAUUUUAGAAGGAAUUCUAACCACACAAGAGUGUUUUAAAUCUGAUGAAACACCCUUUUUCCUCUUCCAAAAUAGUGCAUAAGUUACUGGUGUAUACAUUAGUAUCACUGGGGAUGCCUCAUAAUGUCUGGUAUUGCAACCCUGCCCUAAGCAAAGUAAUUUUUAGAGUAGGUGGAUGAUCACCUUUAACCACUGGUAAGGGUUUUUUUUUUAUAGAUUUUCAUAAUGUCACUAUAUAUGUUCUCCAAGAAGACCAGAAGAAGUGGAUGAGAGAAUACAUGUGGGCUAUGGUUGAUGUUCUCUAUUCCUCUAUCCCUCAUCAUUAAGAUUGAGGAGGUUCAAUAGUACAAUAGUGCAAAAUUUACAGUGGUUUUACAGUCUGCCAUAUUUGCCAUCAUAAUUAUUUCCUUUUUUAUAAAUGAGUGGUACAGCCAUGGGGGUCAAAAUUUGCCCCGUUUGUGCCUAUUUGUACAUGGCAUCAUUGGAGGCAUAACAAAUCUUUAAGAAUGAGUUCAAACAUCAUAUUGAUUUUCUGAGAGGUACAGAGAUGCUCGAUGGAUGAAUUGAACAGAAAUCUCUUAAAUUUACUUCUCAGUUCAGAGAAAUUACUAAAAUUGUAUGCCAAUACCUUACCGACAUUAGGUAUGGAUGAAUUUUAUGGAACAGUGAUUAGAACUUGGGAAAAGUAAGCUUACUCUCUGUCACUUGGUAUACAGCAAAGAUAUCAAAUGAAAACAUGGCCUGCAUAAAUAUGAAGUUACCUUUUCUCUCACACAGCACCGUACUCCUUGCCGAUGCUUUUGAAUUCUGCGCUGGCUAGUGUGCUUGCGAAGAAAAAGACCACACUCUCUGAGGCCAUCUGAUGAAAAUAAUUUUACUCGAUUUUACAGGAAGGGUACCCUGCAAAGGAAACAUUGCAGUAACUACAGAUAUACAAUGUUUUCAGCUGCUGGGUUAAAAAAGGUGGCAUAUGGCACCCAGACCACUUCAUUCAGAUGAAGUGGUCUAGGUUUUUAGAGUGUGCCUUUAAUUUUUGUUAUGUACUCACAGUACGUGUGACAGAUCCUUGUGACUUUAUAAUAUAGGUCCAUAUGGCAUUAAACAUUACAUAUCCAAUUAAUAUUGUUACAUAUAAAUAUAGCAUUAUUAUGCCAAAUAUUAUUUUAAUUUAUAUAGUGUCAACAUAUUUGGCAGUACUACAUUGUAAGUAUCCCCUGGGGGCAUUGUUAGGUGGCAAAUAGGUGGCUUCAGCCCAAGGGUAAGUUUUAUGGCAUCUCCUGUAUAUAUUGACUUAAGACCCUCCUAAAUCCACUGCAUGAAAACCCUGCACCCACAGCAAUAACCCCACACUGUGCUGUAUAACUCAAACUAUGAUGCAUUAAUGUGUCACUGUCACAAAUUUUACAACUGUGGUUAUUUCUCUGUCAGUAUUCCAGGAGACUUGGGGCUAACAAUGAAAUGGAGUCAAUAUUAGACCCCUUUCUGGCUCCAGCUCCCUGUCCCCAGCAGCACCACCCCUCUUCCCCACAUUAUGUUCUACAUGUCCAUGGAAGUGUAAUUAGGACAAUCAUCAGUAAUGUGUUAGAUCUUACUGAUCUUCAUUUAAUAUUGUUCUGAACUCUUAUUAUUUUCAGGCAGUAUUCCACAUUUCUCCCAAAUCACCGACUGCUGAGAGUCUACAUGCCGAGGAUAAGACUCAUAAUCAGCAUUAGCAAAUUCUCUCAGUGGCAGCCAGCCUUUUGGCUAUAAAUGGAUACACAGUGCUAAGUUGUAGGUAUUUACCCAGCACGUGAUAUCAGACCCUGCUCUCAAUGGUGUCUCUCAGUGGGCAACAAUGAAGAGAACUCAGUAGUACUCCACAAUCUUUGCAGUCCAUACCCAAAACCACAAAGACCAAAGUUGGCUGAACUCAACAUAUUUUUGGGGUGGAAACAUUAAAAUGUUUGAUUCAUAAUAUAUGUGCCACAUUAAAAUGUAUAAUUUAUUGAAAUAAAUCAUCCUCUAUAAACUGCUGGCAUCUGCGUAUGAUUACAUGAUGUGAUUGGUAAAGGAGAAUGUGUCACGGUACAGACAAAUCUGAUUUUAAAGAGCAUAUUAUUCCAUCUAUGCAUUGGCAUUCAAUUACUAUUUGGCAGAGCCAUCAUUCCGCCUCGUGCCAUACUAGGAUUUGGUGCAAUGAUUGGCUGAGAGCACGCAGCUGAUGAUCUCAGCCAAUCACUGCUUACUACCCCUGGUAUGGCGUAAAGAGAACUGUAGCUCCACCUCUGAUGUUUCACUAUUGGAGGCCAAUCUUCAGUUUGCCAGGGACUGAGAAUCUCCACUAAUCGGUGAGUUUACUAAACCAUUUAGUGGUUAUGCAGGACCCGAGAGCCAAGGACUCCAGGCAUCAUAACCAAUUCAAUUCACGGAAGUGGUUGUGCUUUCUACAGUGAUCUAUUAAAUUCCCUGUUGGAUUGUAUUCACUGUACAAUAAACUGUCAAAAUUAGCAACUAAGCUGCAACUAUAGUUUUGGUGGGUUGUAUAACCAGACGGGGAUAGCUCGUUCCUAAUACUCCAGCUGCAGUAUUUGCAAUAUUUAUUGAAACCAGAAUUUUAAUUCCUAGCAGUGCCACAUUCAUCUUUGGAAGGUCUAAACUGGUACCAUUAAGUUUGGAUAUCAUAGCAGCCAUAAUCCAGUGUAUACAUAUAUAUAUUUGUGUCCGGGAUAUUAUUAAGCCAAAUAAUUAAAAAUGUUAGUAAUUUGAUAAGAACAAAAGACGGUUGAGGUGUGCCGAAACAGACGAGAGGUUAGACCUGCAAUAAAGAGGGCCCACCUGGAUAUAUUAAUAUGAAUAAUAAAGGGUGAGGUGAACUUACAAAAUAAAUUAAAUGUUUCUGAUUAAAUUGAUAUUCUUAUUAUAGAGAAGUGAUGGACCCUGCUCCUGAGAGCUGGUGUUUGGUUGGAAUUAGUUCACACAGAUGAUACCAACAGGCGGGGAAGUCUGGAAAGGGCUAUUGAUUUUGUGAGGCAGCUAAGGGUUACCUGUUGGAUGAAGAAUUCAGGAAAAGGUUGAACCAGCAGUGCUGCCCAGGUGUGAUAAUUUACUGAUUGGAAGGGGUGGAGCCAGGAAAGGGAAUGGUUGGAUGGGGCAUUCAAGAAAGGGUUAACAGUUGGAUGGAUCACCCAGGAGAAGGUUAACUGUGUGGUAGCUGCCCAGGUGUUAUUGAUUGCUAAUUGGAUGGGGGUGGGGCCAUAAAAGGUUAAUGAUUUGGUGGGGAAGCUAAGAAAGGGUUAAUGGUUUGGCGGCUCAGCCAGGAAAAGGUUAAUGUGUUACUCAGGUGUUAUUGAUUGCUAAUUGGAAGGGGGUGGAGCCCUAGAUCUAUAAAUUCGAUCACCUGGGGGUGGGUGGGUAUGAGGUGGAGGAUGGAGGAUAGUCCCCUUGUUUCCAUCAUUCUUUCUCUGUGUGUUUGCAGGAGAGGCUCUCCCCAAUGUGUCUGGGCUUCCAGUAAGAAGAUUUUAUAAUAGAUUUAAUGUCUGAUGGAAUGUUUAACUGCCUGUGUGCCGGAACUUAGUGAUAUUAACUGUCUGUGUGCCGGAGGUUAUUAGUAUUAACCCUCUGUGUGCUAUAACUUAAUAUUGUGUGCCAAAGCUAAAUAUAAUUAACUGUGUGUGGGCCAUAGCUUAAUAGUAUUGUUUGUUUGGUGCCCAGAACGAAUAAUAUUUAUUGCCUUCAUGCUGGAGCUAUGUAAUACUAACUGUUUGUGUUGUGGAAGUCAAUUAUUUAACCCCUUAAGGACACAUGACGGAAAUAUUCCAUCAUGAUUGCCUUUUUUAUUUCAGAAGUGUUGUCCUUAAGGGGUUAUUUAUCUUCUCUGUGCUUCAUUUUGAGUCCCCACAUUUUAUAUGAAUUUUAUUACACUUCUUAUUUAUACAUCUAUCUCAGAAGUGAAUGUGCAGAUAUUUUAAAGCUUUUGAUUCAGUUUCUGCUUGUACUACACAUGACAAUAUUCAACUAACAAUAGAUACAAUAUUGUAUGUAAGAAUGCUGUAGUUAGAGCUAACAAAUGUAACUAUUCAAUAGGGACACAAAUGUAACUAUUCAAUAGGGACACAAAUGGACACUUUAGGCCAUACCAAUUCAUACCAGCAGUGGGCGCUGCAAGUGGUCAACUGCCAAUUGCAGCACAGAGGUGAUGGGUUGCUGGGCAUUAACGAAGGUUUAACACACUGGACAGCACUAGAGGACUCCAGGCACUGUAACCCCUUCAAUGAGAUAAAGCAGUUACAGUGUCCCUUUAAUCACAAACAUUCCAUAGAGCUGAGAGGGGUGGUAAGAUGGAUACAGGUAGAGUUGAGCUAAGGAAGAAAGAUUGACAGGAUAUGUGUAUACUUAAUAAUGCCACCGUGUCCCUCCUGCUCUAAAUCAAAGGCGUUUGUCUUUAAUUUUAACAGAAUGUCUUCUUAAUCACAGAAACACAAACCACCUAAUCAAAACCCGGUAGGAGUAAAAUGUGGAGUGUCGUCACAAAUGGCAAGAUUGUCAGAUGAAUGUUUGUUUAUAGAAAUAAAAUUACGUAAUGUGGGAUGAUUAUGUAUUCUCUAUAUCCAAAAUAUAAUUACUUUCUAUUGUUUUAAAACUCUUCUUAUCUUAUUUUUUUACAGCCAUUUCCCUUCACAUAUUUCUUGGGGAUUAAAUUUGGGAGAUAUGAUGAGCCGCAUGACAUGGCAAUAACAGAAGGCGGCAGGACAGAGGUGCCGAGCCCGUAUCACCAGAUCCAGGACACUUGGGAAGGUUGUUAUAGCACAUUUCUGCCUACAAGAUUGAGUAAUUAUGCAGAUCCUAAUUGUCCGUACCAGGCCAUUAAUCCAGCACUAGGCGUAACCGCGGUGACAAUAUAUUAAAUACUUUACACAUGGGUGGAGGGUUCAACCCACACUUCUGAAAGAUAUCAGAUGUACAGCUAACGUGAUAUUUUCAAACCGUUCUUUUCUUACAGAGUGAAGAAUUCAGACGUAUUCUCUUUUUAAUGAUUUGAAUCCACUAUCAACACUUACCGUUCACUGGCGGCAAUUUUCCUCGUAGAUCAUCUGUCCGAGACCAAGAACUGGAAGCCAAUCAUCUUCUAGAAUUUACUGCUGAAACUGCAUGGUAUGAACUGCGUAUCCCAUCAACCACUGAGACCAAAACCAUAGCAGGUGGCAAACUAGUUCAUAGAGGGGUUAGAUGCCGGGCCUGGAGGUUCUUAUUUUUCAUCAGAAUAGUCGUUUUUUGUUUUUCUUUUUAAAAUGUUAUCCCCAUAUAAUGGUGUUUUUGAAAUGCUCUGGUAAGUAGGUGGCGAAAAUUAAUGACCCCUGCAAUGUUGUCAUAUUAGGGGACACUCCAAACACCUAAAGCACUUUAGCUUGCUGAAGUGCUUUAUGUGAAGUGUGUCCACUUUUUCUUUUUACAAAAAGUGUUGAGUUCAACAGAAUUUGGUACUUGCUAUUGAUUAAUACCGACUGUCAAACAGACAACUGCCCAGAGCACGUGCCUUGAUCUGCAGAAGUCUGUGAUUGGACAGCUACAGUCUGGGCGGGGUUAGAAGGUGGGAGCUUGCGAGAGCUACAGCUUUUACAAGCUGUUUUUAGAUAAACCUCCAAUGAAGACAAGCAUAAUUAAAUGCAUGCAUGUUUUACUGGGGCUAUAUAGACCAAAUAGAUUUGUUUUGAGUUUGGGCCCUGUAAUGUCCCUUUAAGUGAAGCAUAAAAAAGUUAAUGCUGAAUUAUCACUAGUGGUAUUGUUGUUUACAUGCCCAAACUGGCUGUCCAUACAGAAUCUAUAAGGCACUACUGACAAAAUGUCCACACUCAGGAGGUAUUUUGUUGUAGAUAUAUGACCUCUUUCUUACCUCCCACUGCAUUAAUCACCUCAGUAAUUGCAUCAACAGAGUUUUACUAGGGUAAGGGAAUGCGUAGUAAUCACUGAGAUAACUGGAACUUCUGCUUUAAGGAAAGACACAGCUGUGAAAUGUAAAAAGUUGGUGGGCUAAGUCAAGACUGAUAAGCGGCCUAGGAGCAUCCUGACAACAACUUGCUUUUAUAUUUUAUUUUUCUGUGGAGAUAGUGACUUGAAGUCUUAACACAUAAACCUAAGUAACUGUGAUACAGUGGAGUGUUUUUAUUUUUUUAUUUAUUUUUUUGUAUCCCCAACGAAUUAUAUUUAUUAAAGAUUGCAUUUCAAAGAGAUGUUUUGGUUUAUUUUAUUUAGCACAGUCCUACUGUCUAUAAAUGUAUGUUUAUCAUCCUCUGUAAUAUGCUAAUCUGGUUGGAGAUUGUAAAUGGUUAGGAAAUGUCUUUUUUAGCUACCUUGAUGGUGCUAUAAAUACAGAUUGAAAUCCUCUGUACGUUCGAUCUACUGCAGGUCUAAUUCCCAAAACUUUACGAACGAUGAUGCAAGGUGAGGGAAAACGAUGGGUGGCCAGUAGGGAAUAUCUUAAAUAAGGAAAUGGCUUGUCUCCUUAAAAGGAAGACUGAUAUCUCAGGCACUUACCACAUUCGUUGUCAGGAAUUCAUAAUAUUGUUCAAAUUGUAGGCCAAAAUAGCCACGUGGGGAAAAGACCAAGCCCAGAAAUUUGAAAACCAUUUUUGACUAUUCACUCUACAAUAAUUGUAUUAUACGAUAUAUCAUAUGAUGCUAUUCUCUGACAACAGAUAGAAAAAUAGCCCAAACUCUGUCAACAAAAUGGACCAAAAAAAGUUUAAGUAGAUGUAAGAUAUGUGCACUUUCACCAUUAUGGUACUCUACAGAAAUGGCCAAAAUAGUAAAAAUAAAAUAAAUAAAAAAAUUGGCAUUUAGUAAUUAUAAAAAACAAAAAAGUGAGGAAGACAGAUCUACAAGAUUAGACAGAAAGAGGCUACGCAAGUUAUAAGAGCCCCCCAAUAUCACACAGAGGAGAGAAUAGCACAGUCAGUAAAACAGGAGGAUAAAACAUUUUUAGAUACAUAAAUUAGAAAAGAAAAGUAAAACAAGGAUUAGUUAGAUUAAAAACAAAAGAAGGAAGCAUGUAGAAGAGGAUAAAGGUCUAGCUGACUGCCUUAUUGGAUAUUUCUGUUCAGUAUUUACAGAUGGAAAGGGACCUUAGUUAGGAAACAGGACAAAUGAGUCAUUUAUUACAUGUGAGUUUACAGAGGAAGAGGUUCUAUUUCCACUGUCAAAGAAAAGACAAAUAAGUCAAUGGGGCCUGAUAGAAUACACCCAAAGUUAUUAAAAGAACUUAGUGUUGCACUAGCAAAACCAUUUACGGGUUUAUUUAACCAAUCAUUGUUAACCGGAGUAGUCCCAGACGAUUGGAAAUUAGCGAAUGUUGUGCCCAUUUACAAGAAAGGUAAUAGGGAGGAGUCGGGCAACUAUAGGCCAGUAAGCCUUACUUCAGUAGUGGGGAAAGUGAUGGAAACCAUGUUAAAGGAUAGGAUUGUUGAACAUCUAAGAUCAAAUGGAUUACAAGAUCAGAGACAACAUGGGUUUACUUCAGGGAGAUCAUGCCAAACUAAUCUUGCUGAUUAGUUUGGUAACUAAAAUAAUAGAUCAGGGUGGUGAGUAGACAUUGCUUACCUAAAUUUCAGCAAGGCUUUUGACACUGUUCCACACAGAAGUCUCAUCAAUAAACUGCAAUCUUUAAGUUUGGAUUCCAAUAUCGUUGAAUGGGUUAGGCAGUGGCUGAACAGAGUGUUGCAGUCAAUGAAGUAUAUUCGAAGCAAAGUCUAGUUACCAGUGGGGUACCUCAGGGAUCUAUACUUGGACCCAUUCUCUUUAAUAUUUUUAUUAGUGAUAUUGCAGAAGGUCUUGAUGGUAAGAUAUGUAUUUUUGCUGAUACUAAAAUUUGCAACAGGGUUGAUGUUCCAGGAGGUUAAGCCAAAUGGGAAAUUUAUUAUUUAGGUAAACUAGAAAAAUGGUCAGAAUUGUGGCAACUGACAUUUAAUGUGGAUAAGUGCAAGAUAAUGCAUCCUGGGCAUAAAAACCCAAAGGCAGAGUAUAGAAUAUUUGAUACCCUAUCUAAUUAUUUUAGAUGGCUUAAGGUAGGCAGACAAUGUAAUAGAGCAGGAAAUGCUAGCAGAAUGCUUGGUGGUAUGGGGAGAGGUAUUAGCAGUAGAAAGAGGGAAGUGCUCAUGCCAUUGUAGAGAACACUGGGACCUCAUUUGGAGUAUUGUAUGCAGUACCGGAGACCGUAUCUCAAGAAGGAUAUUGAUACUUAAGAGAGGGUUCAGAGAAGGGCUACUAAACUGGUUCAUAGAUUGCAGGAUAAAACUUAUCAUGUAUAGCUUGGAAGAAAGACUGGGGGGGAUAUGAUAGAAACAUUUAAAUCAACGCCAUAAAGGAGGAGACUAUAUUUAAAAGAAGAAAAACUACCACAACAAGAGGACAGUCUUAAAUUAGAGGGACAAAGGUUUAAAAAUAAUAUCCGGAAGUAUUACUUUACUGAGAGAGUAGUGGAUGCAUGGAAUAGCCUUCCAGCUGAAGUGGUAGAGGUUAACACAGUAAAUGAGUUUAAGCAUGCGUGGGAUAGGCAUAAGGCUAUCCUAACUAUAAGAUAAGGCCAGAGACUAAUGAAAGUAUUUCAAAAAUUGGGCAGAAUAGAUGGGCCGAAUCGUUAUCUGCAGUCACAUUCUAUGUUUCAAUACAUUAGCCUUUGCAGGUUACUUUUCAAGGCCACUGUGUUUUAGUGAAAUAUGCAACCAACUCACCUCUGUGCUUAUCUACCCCUUGCACUCCAAAGUCACUGUUUUAACCUUCGGUCCCACCUGAAAAAAAGAGCAUGGCUGUAAAGGAUUAGCACCCAGGAAUACACAGAUCCGUUUUAGAAUUUGCAAUUCCCUCCCUUGUACAUCAAAGAACAAUAGACUAAUAAUUGGUGCACAAAAAAAGUAACUGUAUAGGUAAGUUUGUUUUCUUCUUUAUUCUCUUUAUCUUGUUGUGUAUGAGUUGCACUUUAAAUCAUUGUUGUCCAAGUGGUGUAAAUACCUUUAUUUUAUUACUUAUUUCUCCCGUUUUCUGACAGCUCCUCUGCAACCUUGUCAUUUUCCCUUUCCAUAUUAACUGGCUUCCUGUCCUCAAGCUUGACUGAGAGCCCAUAAGAAUAUGACCUUGCUUGUUACAUAUUGAUCUCCACUAUAUUAUCAUAUCUGAUGUUUUACAGUUAUUUAAGAAAUAUUGAUGGUAGUACAGUAUUCAUUUGCAUUUAUUUUUGUGUAUUUAAGAAAUUACGUUAAUCAUUUUGCACUUUUUUUGCACAUCAAUUAUUAGUUUGGUGUAUGUAUAUAUAAUUUUAUUUUUGCACAGGUUAUUUCUAUAUAGAAACAUUAGCAGUAAAAAAUGCACUAUUGGCACUUUGUGUAAAACACUAUAUUUGGUUAUUUAACUUUUUGUCAUAUCUUGCACUUUACAUUUUGCACUACAUGUUUUUAGAUUUCAUCAUAGAGAAAUAGCACGACAGCAAGUCCACAACCAAUUAACAGAUUUAGACAUGGAGGUUACUAGGUUAUAGUCCUUGAUAUUCUAUCUACAUUGAAUUCUUGGGUAACGAGCAUCAUUGAUGUAAUUUGUAGUAGAAACAAUUCUUUUGGUGGCUAACUGUAAAAAUAUAAUGCAUUUGGAUCAAAGUAUCAGUCAACACAGGUGGGACAAGAACUAAAGCGCAGCACAUUUACUUGUGUCCCUCUGCAAAAAUUCCAUAGUUCCAUAUUAAACAUGUGAAGGGUGCCCACUAUCACCAUUCGCAUUAAAAUUUACUAAGAUCAAUGUUUUUGACCAUUAGUUGAGCACAUCUACAUCUUUCAAACUGUCUAUUAAACUGAAAAUAGUUUACAGGUCGACCUUAUAAACAACAAAGUUCUAAAGACCAAAUCAUGAUGAAGUUUGAACAAUAAUGAUCUCAGUAGGUUAUGAAAUGACACCCUCCAUGCACAAUUUACAGUUUCUGUAACUGGAGCAUAACUGAUACAGGUGUGUUUUGCUUUAUUUCUUAGCUAGCUUAGAUAUGCAGGUGAAUGGGAAGUUACACCAGUGUUAACUGUUAUUCCAUAGUAUUAUCACUCACUAGAUAGGAUGCUUGUCUGGAUCUCGUCAUAACAACGUUGAUCUUUUAACCAACAUUCAAGAAGGGGAGCAUUUGGGAAAUAGUGAUCACAAUAUGGUAACUUUUGAAAAACUCAAAAAAGCAAAAGCAAGUGGGGUAUACUAAAACAUAUAAUUUAAAAAAAGACAAUCUCAAUAAGAUUAGUGCAGCUCUACCACAUAUCUACUGGCAUAAACUCUUUAGUGAUAAACACUGAGGAUAAAUGGAAACUAUUCAAACAAAUAUUAGAAAGGUACAUUUUCUCAGUAUGUACCAUUGGGUAAUAAAUAUAAAAGAAACAAAUUAAAACCAAUGUACAUCAAUUCUAAAAAAACAAAACAAAAUGAAAGUGUAGGUACACUGGAAACAGAGUUGGGUUUAUUAGCUAAUGAAGACCAGGAAAAAGCAGAAAUUGUAAAUAACAAUUUUUAUUCAGUAUAUAUUAAUGAGGAUCCUAUGGCAAGAGAUAUGCAAAUGAUUGCUGCAAAAAACUUGUGAUUGGAUAACUCGAGACAAGGUGCUACAGCUAUUAAAUAAAAUUAAUGUAAAUAAAGCUCUGGGGCCUGACGGUAUUCACCCACGAGUACUUAAGGAGCUAAGUGGGGAAAUAAGUGAACCUCUAUUUAAUUUUUCAAGAUUCUUUUGUUUCAGGUGUUGUACCGGAGGAUUGGAGGAAGGCAGAUGUUGUUCCUAUAUUUACAAAGGGUUCAAAAUCCUUGCCUGGAAAUUAUAGACCUGUGAGCUUAACUUCUGUAACUGGGAAAAUAUUUGAACAGCUAUUAAAGGAUAAUAUUCAGGAAUUCAUUGGGAAGAACUUUAUUAGCGAUAAUCAGCAGGGUUUUGGGUAGAACAUUGGCUUAAGGAUAGAGUACAACAAGUUGUAAUUAAUGGUAAAAAUUUUUAGGCUGGACAAAAGUGGUAAGUGGUAUCCCUCAGGGUUCUGUUUUGGGACCACUUCUAUUUAACAUAUUUAUAAAUGAUCUUGAAAUAGGCAUUGAAAACCAUGUUUUAGUGUUUGCAGAUGACACAAAACUUUGUAAAGUAAUAAAAUGUGAGCAGGAUAUUGCUUUGCUGCAGAGGGAUUUGGAUAGUUUGGGGGACUGGGCACUAAAAUGGCAGAUAAAAUUUAACGUAGAGAAAUGCAAAGUUAUGCACUUCGGGGUUAAGAAUGCACAAGCAACUUACACACUAAAUGGUAGUGAAUUAGGGAUAACCACACACGAGAAUAACCACACAUGAGAAGGAUUUGGGAAUUGUUAUAGACAACAAAUUAGGCAGCAAUAUGCAAUGUCAAUCUGCAGUUGCUAAGGCCAGUAAGGUUUUGUCAUGUAUACAUAGGGGCAUAAAUUCUCGGGAUGAAAAUAUAAUUUUGCCUCUUUAUAAAUCGCUGGUAAGACCGCACCUUGAAUAUGCUGUGCAAUUUUGGGCGCCUGUUCUAAAGAAAGAUAUCAUGGCACUAGACGAGCUACAAAAUUGAUAAAAGGAAUGGAGCAUUUUAGUUAUGAAGAAAGGUUAAAAAAAUGAAAUCUGUUUAGUUUGGAAAAACAGCGCCUGAGAGGGGAUGAGAUAACUUUAUACAAAUAUAUUCGGGGCCAGUACAAACCCUUAUCUGGAAAUCUAUUCAUAAACAGGGCUAUACAUAGGACACAAGGUCACACAUUUAGGCUGGAAGAAAGGAGAUUUCAUCUAAGGCAAAGAAAAGUUUUUUUUUACAGUAAGAGCAAUAAGGAUAUGGAAUUAUCUGCCUGAAGAGGUGGUUUUGUCAGAGUCACUAUAGAGGUUUAAACUGCAAUUGGAUAAAUACUUACAAAAACACAACAUACAGGAAUAUAAUUUCUAAUUAGUGGGGUAAUAGCUGCUUGAUCCAAGGAGACAUCUGACUGCUAUUUUGGGGUCAAGAAGGAAUUUUUUCCUAGUUUGUGGCAAAAUUGGAAGCGCUUCAGACUGGGUUUUUUGCCUUCUUUUGGAACAGCAACAACAUUUGUGAGGAAGGCUGGACUUUUCAGCUAUGGAACUAUGUAACUUAAUGCUGCCAGACUGUCAGUACUUCUAUUUCUACUAGAUUGUUAGAUUACGGCCCCCCAGAUGUUGUUGGACUACAGUUCCCAAAAUCCCUGCAAUAGACAGGCAGAGAAACUAUUAAUAGUCCCAAAAAAAUAUUUAGGGUGCCAACUCCAACCCUAUUCUAGAGCUAACCCACAGCAAGAGGCUGAAAAACAGAGAACAAUUAAAUGGGAAACUGUGUUUAAAAAUGACACCCUCUUUUAAUGUAGGUGUUCGAUAAUGCGUUAAAAAAUAUGCUCUUACAUCAAAUUACAUCUUAGAACAAAUAGAAUGAUUUUCAGUUGACAGAAAUAAAAUUAAAAUACUGGCGGUUGCAAGACAUUGUUGUAAUGUGCGUUCGGAUUAAUAAUUGGAUUAUUUGAAAAGUAAGUCUAAGUUAUUUUCAAAAACAAAAUCACACUGAAAUAGCGCUUCGCUCCUAGAACAAAUCUCAAUUGACAGAAAUGAAAUUUGUGUUCCAUUUUACAAACAGCAGGCUCUGCAAGACUUAAUACUGCAAAUAUAACUUUCUUGCACAUUACAAAUAUUAAACAAAUUUAUUUUAACUCUUACAAAAAAGUUCAGUUCACAGAAAUGAAACUUGAGUUUUACAGUGAAAAUGGGAGAGGUUGCAAGACACACCCAGAUUCAACAUUCCUCAAUAUAUGAACGUUGUUAAAAUUAAAAUAAUGCCCAUUUAAAUUCCUCUUAUCUCUCGGAACAAAUCUCAAUUGACAGAAGUUAAAAAGAUUCUAUAGUGUAAGGUAUACAAAGCUGCAUUACUUACACUAUAUUUCUCCCCCCCCCCUCCAGCUGAUAAAGGGUUAAAUUCCAGCAUCUAUUUCUCUCUGUGCUGGGUCAGUGCUUCACCUCCUCUAGGGUCAUUCGACAGGGGGCCUAAUGCUCAUGCGUGGUGACCGCUGCAAACAUUCACAUAGGAAAGUAAUUGCUGCAAUGCUUUCUUAUAUGGAUUUAAGAGACACUGGAUGUACUCGUGCAAAACGUGACAACGUCGCUUAGCAAGUAGAAAGUGCCGCUAGUGGCUGUCAUUCAAACAGGAUUAAUCCUGUUAAUUUCUUUAAAACUGCAAUAUUUUACAUUGCACCCACACCACUUCAAUGAGCUGAAGUUGUCUGGGUGCGUGUAGGGUCCCUUUAAUAUCAGAUCUUAUGCUGCAAAUAGGAGGAGUGGGAGACCCCAUUCCACAAUUCAAAAUUAAUAAACUGUGGAGCUGUUCUUUCAGAACUUAAAAUCCAAUUUUAUUUAAAUUAUGACUAUGUUUUAGAACUAAUCUCAAUUUAAAUUAAUUAAUUUCUGGUCUUAUAUUAAAAAUGAGGCCCUGUAGGCAUACAGUUUGCAGACUGUGGACCGUCUACAUCCAAAUUCCAACUCCUUUUUUUCCUAAAACGUAAAUCACAUUAUAUUAGAUUCCUUCUAGCGGCUAGUAUAAUUCUAAGUUUACAGAAAUUUAAUGAGGAACUUUAUGUUUAAAUUGAUAAGGGAUGCAACAUCCCCUCCCAAAUCAUAAUUCUGAGAUGAGCUCUAAAAAAAAUAAAUAUCAGACUCUCUGAUAUAGUGUUCUCUGAGCUAUUAUAACAUCUCAGUUAAUAGAAAGUAAAAUUUGGGUACCAUUUUGAAAAUGGUAGACGAGUGAUAUAAUGUUUUUGAAUCUAGUGUACUGCUCUCUGUUUUGAACUGUUUUUAUUUUAUUUUUUAAAUAUAUACUACACAGAAUUUAAUUAUUCUUACAUGUUAGAACAAAUUUAAAUUGGCAGAAAUGAAACUUGUGUUUGAAAACGAUAGAAUUUACAACACCACCCUCAUCUUAGAAAAACCUUAAUCAGUCAGAUUUUGAUUCCUGGUAAUUCAAAAAAACAAAUCUCAACAGAAAAAAAGUUUGAAUCCUAUUAUGAAAAUGUUAGGUGUUGCAAUACACCCUCCAGAUUCAAAUUCCAGACCAUUGAGCUGAAAAUAUUAAUUAUUUCAGAAGUUAAAAAAAAACACUGAUUUAGAUGCUUCUUAGCUCUUAGAACAGAUUUCAGUGACAUAUGAAAUGUGGAUCUUAUUUUUAGAACUGUGGUGUUUGCAACACACUCUGUUACAAAUUUGUACAUUUUAGAACUGUUGAGCUGAAAGUCAACAUGGUUUCAAAAACAUAAAAAAUAUAUACUAAUAGAAUUAUGGUGGGGGGGGGGGGAAAGUGAUUAAAAACCACUUUCGACCAAAGUCAGUGGAUAGUCAAUACAUUGUUAAACACAGAUCUGCACACACCAGUCAAGAAAUAAAAACUUGCUUUUCCAGCAGAAAUCUCACAUUUGCAGUACUGUUAUUACUGUAAGGGAUUAUGGGUGGGCAUAUGCAAAUGAGUUCGUUGUUGAAUAUUGUGUGUGUGUGUAUAAAUAUAUAAUAUAAAACUAACAUGUACAAACAAUGUAGCCAAGGAAUAUGCACAACAUAAAACAGUGGCAAGUUGUUUGUAUAGGGAGAGGUAUUAGCAGUAGAAAGAGGAAGUGCUCAUGCCAUUGUACAGAACACUGGUGAGACCUCACUUGGAGUAUUGUACACAGUACUGGAGACCGUAUCUUCAGAAGGAUAUUGAUACCUUAGAGAGGGUUCAGAGAAGGGCUACUAAACUGGUUCAUGGAUUGCGGGAUAAAACUUACCAGGAAAGGUUAAAGGAUCUUAACAUGUAUAGCUUGGAGGAAAGACGAGACAGGGGGGAUAUGAUAGAAACAUUUAAAUAUAUAAAGGGAAUCAACACAGUAAAGAAGGAGACUAUAUUUAAAAGAAGAAAAACUACCACAACAAGAGGACAUAGUCUUAAAUUAGAGGGACAAAGGUUUAAAAUAAUAUCAGGAAGUAUUACUUUACUGAGAGGGUAGUGGAUGCAUGGAAUAGCCUUCCAGCUGAAGUGGUAGAGGUUAACACAGUAAAGGAGUUUAAACAUGCAUGGGAUAUUCAUAAGGCUAUCCUAACUAUAAGAUAAGGCCAAGGAUUAAUGAAAGUAUUUAAAAAAAUUGGGCGGGCUAGAUGGGUCGAAUGGUUCUUAUCUGCCAUCACAUUCUAAGUUACUACUUACAAAAUAUGUAUCUAUAGCUGUGGGCAACCAUUUUGGGUCGUAAAUCCUUCCCUUCGUGAUAAAGACUGAAUAAUGUCCUGCUGCAACAUGUAUAAAACUGGCACAGCAAACAAACAAAAUAAUAAAAAUUACAUAUAGUUUAUACUAAAACAACUCUAGCUUAAUGGAGCAGUUUUGGUGUAUAGAUGAUGUCCCUGAAGCGUCACUGCUCUAUUCUCAGUCAUAGAAGAGUUGUAUCACUUAGUUUAUACAACCCUAGUCACACCACCCAACUAAUAUUUAAACAGCUUUCAGGAAAUAAGUACAAUUCUUACAGCACAGUAUGUUUAUUUGAGAAGUUCUUAAUUCCUGCUCUGAUUUAAAGGAACACUCCACACACUCAAAGCUUUUAGGCUUGCUAAAUAAUUUGCCCUCUUCUUCUUUUAUUUUAUUUUUUUAAAUUUUACUAAAAGUUUAGAUUUCAACAUAAAUUGGCACUUUAGUCUGUCACUUUAUGAUAAUAAAAUAAAAAUAUUCCACUUACAUUCUUAUUUAUUUUCUUUGUGUCCAAGUAAUUUACAACUGUGUCCACUUGCAAUUUGUUUUCUGUAAAUACAAUAUUUUUUACAGUAUGACCUUGUUCAUUCCACAAUAGAAAAGUUUUGCCAGCAAAGUGUGAGUCAAGCUCUUAUCUAUUCUUUGCUUAAAGUAUAAUUACAGAUUAGACUCUCAUUUACAAAAUUGCUGUGAGAAUGCAUGGGCCUGAAGAAUUAUAGAAAUGGACUCAUGUAGGAUAGAGGGCACACAUUUUACAAUUAAUUAAUCCCACAACACAUUAUAGAAAAGUUCAAUUGCCUCUCAAUAAAGGUGACAUUUCACAAUGUAUUUGAACAAAUGAUAUUUGAUAUGUGCAAUCAUAAAAAAGACCGAUACACUCCUACAAAAAGUCAGCCAAGGUGCCAUUGGUAGUAUCCACUUUUAUGUGAAAUAACUCUCAUGCGCAAAAUAAUGUAACACAUGCUCCUUCAAAUACCCAUCUUUUUCAAAAAAUAUUUUCAUGGUCAAUGGUCCUGUUAUUUUAAUCUUUCCCAUGGGUAGGCUAGUUGGUUAAUACUAGAACUGAGGAACCCAUUGUGUAAUGAAACCCAUUUAAGACCGUGCUGAAAGGGAUACAAUAUCUCAAGGUCAGGUCUACAAGAAAAGAACUCAAGGUUUUUUAGGGCAAUUGCAUCAAUGUUUGAGAAACAACAACAAAACACCCAGAUGCCAUUCUUAACCCUAGCCUCUGUUUCAAUAUAUUUAGUUGGCAUGCCCCCUCUUUAUUAUAUUAUUACCAUCCCUUCCGUCUAAUGUGUAGGAGGUAGGUGGGGCAAUGACAUGUCCCUAUACGUUUAUUAUAACAUUGCCACUACCAGCUAUGGACUACAGCAUGUAAACACCAGUUACAAUAUGNNNNNNNNNNNNNNNNNNNNNNNNNNNNNNNNNNNNNNNNNNNNNNNNNNNNNNNNNNNNNNNNNNNNNNNNNNNNNNNNNNNNNNNNNNNNNNNNNNNNGCAAUGGCAAUUGUAAUUUAAAUGAAUCAUUUAAUGGUAUCAGCUCGUGGAGGCUUGUCGAACCCUAGUAACAAUGUCAAUGAGUGUACAAUUCAUUUAAAGUUACAAUUUUAUAAAGCGCUGGGGUUUCUUUUAAUUGUAAUCAAAGCCAACUCAUAAUGUACAAAUAAACUGAUGGAAAAAUGGCUACAGGUAAAUCUUAUAAUAAAAUGUAUAUGAUGUGUUUUCAAAAUCAUGCGCAAAUGUAUAAAUGGAAAAGUAUACUUACCCAAUGUUUACCCCUGUGUGUACAUAUGGUGUUAAAUCACGGAAUACAGAAACCGAGCAAGGGGCGUGUUAAUAAGUAACCGUCGAAGACAGUGAUAUAAGCUUAUUGCCUGACUAAAGAAUAACAUCUUAUCUAUACAUUUGCCAGCAAUGUAGAUUCAAUUAUAUCAUCUUCAAAAUGCCGCCAUGCUUUUUUGCAUUAUAUAUUUGCCAUAAUAAAUCUAUUCUUACAAUAGAACCUUAUCUAUAGAAUGUGACGUUAGUAACAAAAUAAUGGAUGGCACCAUCUAGAUUAAACUUGCUUAAAGAAAAUGUAUACUUCUAAUAUUCCACUCUCGCACACUCACUCUUGAAAACGAUGUCAUUCAAUUCUCUGCAUUUUUGUCUUUUCUUGUGCAAGAGUUAAACAUGUUCAUUAUUGAUGAGUUUAGUUUUGUAGAUGAAAACUGGCCUAACCAUUGUUCCAAAGAGAGUUACUCCAGUUUCCUGGUGUCAGUUGUAACAGUUCACAGAAUAUCGAAUAAGACAACAUUUUCACAGUGCGUCAGAAAGCAAUUCUAAGACUAUGGAACACCAGCCUCCAUGGUAUUCACUAAACACUAAAAUACUGGAUUUCUGACUUAUUUGCUGUUUUUAAAUAUUUACCAGCAGGGAGUCUGAUCAAAAUGUGCUCAUUUCAUUUGAAUGAAAACAAUUUGGUACCACUCAGUGUCUGGUUAAAAUCAGUGACUUUAGCAUGCAAAUUCUAUAUGAAAUAUAGGAUUUACAUAUUUACAGAACACCGAACAUAUAUCAAAUUUCCAAAGAACAAAAUAUAUCUAUGGAUAGGGUAAGUUUACCCAUUCCAUAGAUAAAAACACCUUUAUUGACACUCCAGCAGUGUCAUGUGGGGCUUAACCCCUAUUCCUAGAACAUCAAAGAAAAUUCACAAAUCUGAAGAAAACACUCCAGAUAUGUAAAUAGUAACUGGAAGUUAGAUUGGAUAAAUAAUAUCAAAAUACGGAAAUAAAAUAAAAAAUGUUUGUGAAUUUGCCAGAAAGAGGUAAAAAAAAACGAUCAAUACAUAGAUCUCCCCAGCUAUCAAUAGCUGUACCUCCCUAAUGUCUAUGUUGGUUAGUAUCAGAUCAGACUUCUGACUUUAAUAUUAUAAUCAGUGUCAAUGUCUGGAAAGUAUGAAGGUACAAAUAUCAUAGACAUCAAUUCUAAAUUAACACAGUAUUUGUGUCAAAAUAUCAAAUAUAUGGCAAGAUUUCAACAAAAGUUAAAUGUAAUGCUGCUGCCUCAUUAAUCAAACUAUACUGUGUUAAUCCUGUAGCUAGAGGGGGGUGAACGUAACCUGUUAUAUACUAAUCAACAGGCUUGCUAUUUAUGUAACUGUAUAUGGGAUUGCAUUCAUUGCGUGAAUACCCAACAGAAACAAAAUAUCCAGUCCGUGAAAAUAAACUAUAAAAUUCACUCCCCCAAUAGUACGAGGAAAGAAUAUGCAGGAGGAAAGAGAAGAAAGAAAAACAGUUAAUGCGUGCUAAUGUGCAGGACCAUACUUAGAAUGUUGGUCCCUGCACAUGUGACAGUGUCCUGUGAAGUGAAAAAAAGUGAAGAAAACCCGACGCGCGUUUCGGUGCCGCUAACGUGCACCCUGACGAAAGUAUGCACCCUUCAUACUUUCCAGACAUUGACACUGAUUAUAAUAUUAAAGUCAGAAGUCUGAUCUGAUACUAACCAACAUAGACAUUAGGGAGGUACAGCUAUUGAUAGCCGGGGAGAUCUAUGUAUUGAUCGUUUUUUUGACCUCUUUCUGGCAAAUUCACAAACAUUUUUUAUUUUAUUUCCGUAUUUUGAUAUUAUUUAUCCAAUCUAACUUCCAGUUACUAUUUACAUAUCUGGAGUGUUUUCUUCAGAUUUGUGAAUAUAUCAAAUUUCUACUGGAUCUUGACCAAAAACAGGCAAAUCUAGUAAAUAAAUUUGUAUUUUCCAAGUUAAUUUAUUGGACUUGACUAUUUGUGUUUUAAAACCCCUCUGCAGUGCAAGGGUUAAAGAAACACUGCAGGUUCCAUAAACACGUCAACAUAUAGAACGAUCUUUUGAAGUGGUUAUGGUGCCCCUUUAAGCAUGUGGUGGCUGGCCAGCUAUUACUAGAUGGCCACUACAAAAAAUAAAUAAUAAAAAAGCCUAUCAGAGUUAAUGUGAUCCCACAUAUCUAUUGGGAGGAUUAUAUAAUUGCUUCUGCCCCCAUUAGCAGUGGCAUGGGGCCUGUAACUUAAUAGCGAGGACCCAAUACUGGUCCUCCUACACAUGGGCAGAGGAUCCAUAUAAGACCUGAGUCCAGUAGGUGGCGUUNNNNNNNNNNNNNNNNNNNNNNNNNNNNNNNNNNNNNNNNNNNNNNNNNNNNNNNNNNNNNNNNNNNNNNNNNNNNNNNNNNNNNNNNNNNNNNNNNNNNUGAGCUGAUACAAACCUGGACCAGGAUCACGUGGAACUAAAUAAGCCCCAUGAAUAAAUUAUCUCACUAAAAUGACAUUUUAUGGCCUUAUCUGUGUAAUAAUAAGCAAGAUAUAAAGGAGGGUGGGGGGGAGAGAAAUCGAUGUUUGUAUCAUGAAAUGAGUUAUAGAUGCAUUACUGAAACAGAUGUCUUUUCUGUGAGUGAUAUUUAAAAGGUUAUUUCAGGAAGCCUCACUAUACCGUUAAAAAGCGUCUGCCCAGAGCACUUCAGUUCGUUUGGGAGUCCCUUUAUGGAUUGUGUAUGGCAAAUGGCUGUAAUGUUUGAUAACAAAACACUGGGCUUUCAAUAAGAAGCAAUUACAGGCCUUCGGUAAAUAUACAGCCGUGGCAGGACUUCAACGCAGGACUGAAGUCAACAAUGUUUUAUUUGGAACAAAGCAGUUCCUGUUUCUACUGAGUAAUUAAAAUUAAAUUGGUCAUUGUUCUUUUUCAUUUCUUUUUAUCUGUAUGUCUUUUCUAUUUGUUUACAAAUCACGAAUUUCGGAAAUGUUCUCCACAUUACUCCUAGGGUAGCACUCUGUUUAGAUGCCAGGGUUUCCUUGGGGUCAUUUUUUUUGUGUUUAAAAUGUAAAGGGCAUGAACGCGUGCUGGUUAGAAGGGAUGGACUGCUGGGUAAAGAAGAUGCAGACGCAGUGAGAAGGGGAGUUUGGUGGCUUUGUAAAUCUGUCUAGCGUAAAUCGAGAAGAAAUAGCUGCUGGCAGGAAGCUUUAAACCUCUGAUAUGUUCAGAAGUAUUGAUUAGGUUAUUGCAGACAAACUUUUAUUUCUCGAUGCUCCUCCAUGGGAAAUGGUUAAAAGUUGCAGAAGCUACAGAAACUUGACAGAAACAUUACUUUUAACAGUAAAACAAAUAUAUAUUGAGGAUGUUUCCGACACAUCCACUAGGGGGCAGUGGACAACGUCUUGGUUGUAGAGGAAGAAUACAGCUGGGAACUUUGGAUACAUAUUAAGUGGGUAAUAUCUAACUUGUAUUAAUUUUUUUUUUUUUUUUUUUUCUGGUGGGUCUCUACAAAAUGAUUCUAAUACUCCAAGACUUUGUUUAGUUAUAUAAAUGCCUCAAAACAUAAAAUGGUCUAUGUCUAUGCAUUUUGCAGACAUUAGAACAGUUGCCAAGAAUAAUUACCUUUACAGUAAGUGUUAGGAUCCCAUGCCAUUCCAGAUGUCUGCAUUCGGAUGUCUGAAUAUUCUAGAAUCUUUUACGUAUGGAUGAAAUCUGCAAAAUAUGACAGUUGAGAAACUGUGUUAAGAAUCUUAUUCCAUUAUUUUUUGCAGUGAACUGAUCGAAAUCCUGAUAGACUGCAAGCUGUUUAAAUGUCAGUGGAUUAUUUUUUUAUUUUAAUUUAAAUCCACCCAGCCUCCCUACCUUUGGGAUAGCUGGUUUGAUUUUUUACCUGGGGUCCAGUGGAGAUGCUGGCCGGGCUGUUUGGGCAGGAAGGCAGUCGUGCCGGCAGGUGGGCGGCCAGUUGACGUCUUAUUCCGGCACCGGGCAUCACUCUGCGGCGCGCCUGGAGCUCAGCUAGCUUCCUGCCUCAGGGCUAACAAAGCAUUUGCCUGGGCAUGUGGGGGCGGCGUUUUUUGCCGCCCCCUGGAAUGUACUGCCCAAGGCAAAUGCCUUGUUUGCAUCGCGGCAAAUACAGCCCUGGUCCUACCUCCAGCAAGGGAAGACCAGAUGUUUAUAUGGCCUCUCUAUGCUCACAAACUCCAGGAAACUGUUGUUGUCUUAACUAUUGUAUACACAGUAAAGCAAGCAUGUACGACAGUCCAAUGUUUUUGUUUCAGAGGUCCAGAUAGGAUAGCAGUAUUCUUUGUUUUCUUUUUUAUGUGUCUUCUGUUAUUUCUUUAUUUUUAAACAUAUAAGCACACACUUUGCUAUGCUAUGGAUUCAUUGCUCUCACAUACCCUAUCAUACAUUUUCAAACAUGAAUGUCCAGCUAGGCUAUGAACAAUCCGUGUGUAGCAAUCCCACCAAAUCUUUAGCAGACACAUUUAUAACUAACCCAUACUGUUUGCAACCGAGAAACAUAUGGGCAGCUCAUCUAUAAAUAAUGCGUGGCUUCUGGUCAUAAUGAAGACUUGCAGCUACACACAGUAAAAAUGCACUCACCGCAAUAUCCUCUCAAAGAUUAAUUAAUGAAGUCAUUUCAUCUGAAUUAGCUUUUUUUUGACCCAUUCACUGCUAAAACUUCAAAGAUAAAUUUGCAUUUUGUAUAGGGUCCAGAAUGUUAUGCUACAUAAUGUCAGAAUGUUUUGGAAUCUCUAGCCUGUAGUUAUAGAUAUGGUAUGUUUUAGCGAAAGUGCUCCAGCUGUAAGUUUUGUUAGUGUUGAUGUUGCUCUUAACAAAUGUCAGCCUCUGUCAAGUAAAUACUACGCAUUCCAGUACUCUGCUCCUGGGUCAGAUGGUUGACUAGAACCCCCACCAUUUCAAUAUAUUCUUGAAGGCAGGGGAUUUUAUAAGGGUAAUGCCAUCUGAAUGUGCCCGUCAGCAUUUUAGUGGAAGGUAUUAAUGUCCUGUUGGCAUGAUUGAACAAGGCAGCACUUUCAUAGGGUGACCGUUUAAAUUAAAGCAAAUCUUAGUGUAAGCACCAAGUAGAAAUCGGUUUGUACUAAUCAAGUACUAAAGUCUCCCUAGAAACAUUUUACAGUCCAGGAAACUGAACCCUUUAGUUUAGAGCAGAAUUGUGCUGACUAUGAAUUGUACGCAGGACCAUCUAUAAUAUGAAUAGAACCUUGAGCAUUGCAUUUUCUCGGGCCCACCUGGACCCUGCCUCCCCCUCCCCGGAAUUGCAGUCACACCUUUCACAUACAUACUUACACAGACGUAUACACCGACAGACACACUGGCACAUGCACACACAGACAUACUGACAAACAUAUUCACUGACAGACAUACUGACAUAUUCACAGACAAACACACAAAAAAUACUGGCACACACACUGACAGACAUACUAACACACAUAUAUACUGACAGACAUUACACAUUCAGACUGACACACAUACGGAUAUAUUGACAGACACAUACACACACUGACAGACAUACAAACAUAUGCCCUGACAAGUAUACUGACACACACAGAUGCAUACACUAACAGACAUACUGAUACACAUAUACUGACAGACAUAGUAACACACACAGACAUACUGACACACACACACACAGACACAUAAACUGACAGACAUACUGACAUACACUGACAGACAUCCAUAUUGACAGACAUACUGACACAAACGCGGAUACAUACUGACAGACAAACUGACACACACAUAACGACAGACAAACUGACACACACUGAGACAUACACACAUACUGACAGAAAUAGUGACACACACAGAGACACACACACAGACACACACAUGUACUGACAGACAUAUUGACACACACAGACAUACACUGACAGACAACCUACUGGCACACACACAGACAUACACUGACAAACAUACACUGACAGACAACAUACUGACACAUACACUGACAGACAUACUGACACAUACACACACUCAAAAUUUACACUAUUAAAUCUACCUCCCAUUUCCUACCUUGAAGGGUGGCUUCCCUGGUGUCCAGAGUGGUGGCUGAGGCUGCUGGGGGUUGCAGACUGGAAAUCCCGGCCCAGCACUUCUCCUCUGUGCCUCCCUGGUCUCUCCCGUGUGGCUCUCUCUGGGAGGAAGUGACUCACGACAGUCACUUCCUCCCAUGAUGCCAAAAAGCAAGGGUACCCCGUCAUGCUGUUAAAGGGCCACUGCACGCAACUGGGCCCCUGCUUACAAACGCCUACCGGGUGGCCCUUAGUGCAUGGGCCACCCGGUGGACCUCUUUAGUGUGCGGGCCACGGGCUGCACUGGAGGCCCAUGGGGGUUAAGUAGUUGAGGGCAGCCGGACCCACAGGGCAGCUCCCUUGGGCCACCCAGAAGUAACUGGGCCUGGGGCAGCGGCACCAUUUGCCCCAUGUGAAAGACGGCCCUGAUUGUACACAGGCUUAUUCUGAAUAACGAAAUGUUUGAUUUGGGAGAGGUGUGAUUUGCCUCGGGGAGGGGGGUUAACCUUGGAUUUGUGCACCAACCUUUUGUCCAUGAUAAAGCAAAACAAUUAAUUAGCAUUAAAGUUGUCUUGAAACUUGUCAAAGAUUAUAUUCUAUUUAGCUAUAUACCUAUAGUAGAUGCAGGGAAAACAAAACUAUUUUAAUUUAAUUAAGAAAAUAUAAUUUGAUGGUAUAUUAUAUUAUAAUUGCCUUCUGAAAAAGCACAGCACAGCAUAUAAUGCAACAUUAUGAUCAUUCCAUCAUUUUUCCCUCUUUCCUGCGUAUUGGUGGAUAUUCAAUUAAAAAUAAAUUGCUGCAUAAUUGUUGCAUUUGUAGUGAAUAGUUUGCUACAGGUGCAUAAGCUAUAAAAUAAAACAGACAACUUGUAAAUGGACAUUACCUCCUCGUCCCCUUCGGACAGUUUUAUUAGUUGUGCUUUAUUUUGAAAAUAUCAAUAAAAAACAAGACAUAAAAAAAUAUUAAAGCAAAUUUUACCCGUUCAAACACACAUGUUCUGAUCUUGUUAAGCUUUAUUUGGCAGCAUGCGAUUCCUCCAUUCAGCGAUGGCCAAAUGGUUUAUGUACCUACCACCAACAUUAAGACAUUGGAAUUGUCCCGUAAAAUGCAGCCAAUGUGUUCACUCUAGUGCAAACAACCAUGCUUGCAUGAAGGGCCCCAUCAGUUCGUGACAAAUGUGACGAGCCUUGUGGUUCUUGAGGGCGCAGACUGCUCUGGAAGACUCGGGCCCAGGGAGAUAUGGCUAUAUAGGCCCCAGACCCCACAGUCCUAAUGUGCACAAUAUAUAUUCACAUGUGGGUCCCGGCGACCCUAGAGCAUCCCAGCACAUGCCAUCUUCAGCUCCUCUCUCUCUAACUCACAUGAGCCCCUGGGCCGUCAGAGCAUCACUGGUUACCAUGGCAACACUCCACACAGCACCCAGGCCAGUCAUGCAAGAGUUAAAUAAAGAAAGGCACCUAUAAAGUGAAGAUGGUUUUGGGCCCACUCUACAGUGUACAACACCUGGUACCACCAGGGCCGGACUGGCAUAUUUCCUGGUGGGCCGCAGCACCUGGGGGCUGCACAACUCUAACUCCCUAUAGAGAGGGAGCCCUGCGGCUGUUUUCAAUAAUAUCACUUCCGCCGGCCGCAUGUAGGUGCUGACGGGUGGCCGGUCCAGUGGCAUGCUCUGAGGGGGUUUCCUUGCGGCCGGCGGCCAUAUCUCAUGUGGUGUAUGACCGCUGUCCGUAUCAGUGAGUGUACUGGCCGGGCGGCAGACAGAGGGGGGAGAGUGACACAGGGAGGAGAGACACAGGGAGGAAAGGGGGGAGGGAGAUACAGGAAGGAGAGGUGAGAGAGUCACAAGGAGUAGAGGGGGGAGAGAGUCACAAGGAGGAGAGGGGGGAGAGAGACACGGGGAGGAGAGGGGGAGGAGAGACACAGGGAAGAGAGGGGAGAAAGAGACACACAGAAGGUUUGUUGGGGGGACAAAGAGACGUACAGAAGGGAAGGGGAACAACGUGACACAAGUUUUGGGCUGGGGGAAAAACAGAGACAGAGUGGCUGGGAGAAGAGAAAGAGGCACACAGAGUCUAGAGUUAGAAAGGGAAACACAGAGGGGAUUUGGAAGGGGAGAAAGAGACAAAGGGUCUGGGGCUAAGACAUGCAAAAGGGGCUGGGGGAAAAUCAAUAUACAGAGGCUGGAGAAGGGUAAUAUGAGACACACAGGGGCUAGGAUGAAGUAAAAGAUACACAAGGGGAGCUAAAAGAGAAUUACAAGGGUGGCUGUAAGAAAAAAAUGGAGACAAGAUACACUAAACGAGGUAAAAAAAAAAAAAUCAGAGGAGGGAAUAGGAAACACAAAAAAAGGCAAGAAUUUCACAAGGGAGUUAAAAUAAACACAAGAGAAGAUGCAUUUGUUUGUGUGUUUGGGGGGGAUGCAUUUUCGCUGUGUCUCCUGCUCUCCCUGUAACUCAGUUUAUGCCGAAGAGCUAAUAGACAGGUGAGAGAAAGACCUCUUAUUAAAUAGAUUUUCCUUCCAAUAUAUGCAUUUUGCUAGCAAACUUUCUAACACAAUGUACAGAUAGAGGUAAUUGAUGUGAUCCUGACUGUAAUACACAUAUAUAUAUAUAUUUAUAUGCAUGUAUAUUGAUGUGUGUAUUAGUAACAAAAUUGUGCCUAUAAUAUUUACACAUGUAUUAAUAUGCAUUUUUAUAUGCAUAAUACACACAGAAUGUCAUUAAUAUAUAACAUAUAUGUAAUGAGCACGUAUUGGCCCAGUCUUGUUGCUAGGUGCACACUCCAUCACAAUAACAUAUUCAAAGUGAAGAGCACACUCAUAGGACUUCAGAAUGAACAAGAUGACGUCAUUUUUUACAGCUGUGCACCACAUACAGUCACCAUUUCAGUCCCAUUACUAAAAUUUCCUUAAUAUGUCAAGGUAGUUGGACUGAAAUAUUGAUUACAUGCAAAUGUACGUCUUCUUAAAAUAAAGGCUCUCUUUUGUUUAUUUUGAAACCCUAUAUGUAGCGAUGUCCCUAAUGGUUCGCCGGCAAAUAGUUCCCGGCGAACAUCACUUGUUCGCGUUUGCCACGGACGGCUAACGUAUGCGCUGUUCGGUCCGCCCCCUAUUCAUCAUCAUUGAGUAAACUUUGACCCUGUACCUCACAGUCAGCAGACACAUUCCAGCCAAUCAGCAGCAGACCCUCCCUCCCAGACCCUCCCACCUCCUGGACAGCAUCCAUUUUACAUUCAUUGUGAAGCUGCAUUCUUAGUGAGAGGAGGGACAGUGUAGCUGCUGCUGAUUUGAUAGGGAAAUUGAUAGCUAGGCUAGUGUAUUCAGUGUCCACUACAGUCCUGAAGGACUCAUCUGAUCUCUGCUGUAAGGAACAGCACCUCAAAAAGCCCUUUUUAGGGCUAAAACAUCAGUCUGCUUUUUUUUUUCUGUGUAAUGUAAUUGCAGUUGCCUGCCUGCCAGCCUGUGUGUCAGGCUCACAGCAUAUACUGUGCCCACUUGCCCAGUGCCACCACUCAUAUCCGGUGUCACAAUAGCUUGCAUUUAACAAAAAAAAACUUUUUGGACUGUAAUAUAAUAGCAGUCAGUUUCCUUCACACGUGUGCGUUUAAGGGCCUGCCAGGGCAAAGUGUCACACCAGUGCAACUCAUAUCUGGUGUAACAGUAGUGUACAUGUAAAAAAAUAAAAUAAAAUUUUGACUGUAAUAGAUUGAAUAGCAGUUAGUUGUCUGCAAGCGUGUGUCAGGCCUACAGCGUCUACUCUNNNNNNNNNNNNNNNNNNNNNNNNNNNNNNNNNNNNNNNNNNNNNNNNNNNNNNNNNNNNNNNNNNNNNNNNNNNNNNNNNNNNNNNNNNNNNNNNNNNNGUGUCUGUCUGUGUCAUUGUGUCUGUCUGGCUGUGUCGUUGUGUGUCUGUCUGUGUCAUUGUGUCUGUCUGUGUCAUUCUGUCUGUCUGUGUCAUUGUGUGUGUCUGUGUCAUUGUGUGUGUCUGUCUGUGUCAGUGUGUCUGUCUGUGUCAGUGUGUCUGUCUGUGUCAUUCUGUCUGUCUGUGUCAUUCUGUCUGUCUGUGUCAUUCUGUCUGUCUGUGUCAUUGUGUGUGUCUCGGUCUGUGUCAUUGUGUGUGUCUCGGUCUGUCAUGGUGUGUGUGCCUGUCAGUGUGACUGUGUGUGUGUCUGUGUCUGUCAUGGUGUGUGUGCCUGUCAGUGUGACUGUGUGUGUGUCUGUGUCUGUCAUGGUGUGUGUGCCUGUCAGUGUGACUGUGUGUGUGUCUGUGUCUGUCAUGGUGUGUGUGCCUGUCAGUGUGACUGUGUGUGUGUCUGUGUCAUUGUGUGUGUCUGUGUCAUGCGGUGUGUGUCUGUGUCAUGGUCUGUCUAUGUCAUGGUGUGUGUGUGGUUAUUGUGCCUGGAUUAUUUCUUUAAAUAAUCUACAAGUGCCCCUCCCGAGAUCAGGUUCUGGAUCUGCCACUGCUAUCCAAACACUGCAUCCAUUACACAAACUCACUGCGUUCACUAUCCACACACUGCAUACAGUACACACAAACAUUACAUAAACUACACACACUGCAUCCAUCACACAAACGUACAAUCUGCGUUCACUAAACACACAUGGCAUCCACUGCACACUUCAUUCACUAUAUACAACCUCCUCAUCCACUACACACACUCUCUGCAUCCACUACAAACACACUGCAUCUACACACACACACACACACACACUACACACCCACUAUACACACACUGCAUUCACUACACACACACUAUACAUAAACUAUAAAAAACACUGCAGGUACACAUACACUGCAUCCUUGUAGGCGGACUCAGGAUGGUGGGCAGACUCAGGGUGGUCGCUGGGUGCCCAGUCACGGAGCUUUGUAAGGGGCCACAAAAAUUCUGAUGGCAGUCCUACUUGAAUGGGUUAUUUAUUAUCAUAUACCUACAAACAAUGUGUGGUGCAGGAAUGCAUCUAAAAAUCCAUACAACCCGGGCUGAUAUUUUUAUCCGAAUCCCACGGAAACUCGCGACCGCUCCAACCAGGGCUGCCAUCAGAAAUUUUGGGGCCCCUGACACAGUUCAAAGUCUGGGUUCCCCCGGACCUGCCCCCGGGGGCCCAUUCUGAGUCCGCCCACAAGGAUGCCCUGUCUGUGUGGUGUGUAAAAUGGAUACAGAGUGCACAUUUGUAUAAUGGAUGUGGUUUUGUGUGUUUUAGAUAAAGUGUGUGUUUGUGUAGUGAAUGCAGAGUGUGUUUGUGUUGUGGUUUUAGUUUGUGUAUGGUGAAUGAAGUGCAUGUUUGUGUUGUGGUUUUAGUUUGUGUAUGGUGAAUGAAGUGCAUGUUUGUGUUGUGGUUUUAGUUUGUGUAUGGUGAAUGAAGUGCAUGUUUGUGUUGUGGUUUUAGUGUGUGUAUGGUGAAUGCAGUGUGUGUUUUGUGGUUUUAGUGUGUGUAUGGUGAAUGCAGUAUGUGUUGUAGUUUUAGUGUGUGUAUGGUGAAUGCAGUGUGUGUUUGUGUUGUCGUUUUAGUGUGUGUAUGGUGAAUGCAGUGUGUGUUUGUGUUGUCGUUUUAGUGUGUGUAUGGUGAAUGCAGUGUGUUUUGUGGUUUUCGUGUGUGUAUAGUGAAUGCAGUAUGUGUUGUAGUUUUAGUGUGUGUAUAGUCUAUGCAGUGUGUGUGUGUUGUGGUUUUAGUGUGUGUAUGGUGAAUGCAGUGUGUGUUUGUGUUGUGGUUUUAGUGUGUGUAAAAUAUGGGGCUGCAUAGGGGGGGGAGCCUUUUUGUAUAUGACCCACAUUUAUUUGACACUAUUUUAUUCCCCCCCCCUGCUUCUUACCUGACUAGGGAGGGGGGAGAUUGCAUCUCUGGUGGUCUGGUGGAGGGAGCCAGCCGCUGUACAAUGCAGACGGGGGCCAGCCAGCACCUGUACCUGUUUGCCGCGCGGAGCAUUGCCAUGGUAACCCGUGACAACACUCUGCCGGCCGCAGAGCUCACGAGACUUACAGGCACAGGAGCUGCUGGAGAGUUAAGAUGGUGCUGGCUGGCCCCCGUCUGCAUUGUACAGGUAGCCGGGGCCUGAGGUGAACAUAUAGAUUGCGAUAAUCGCUAUCUAUAUGUACACAUAUGAAAUGUGGGGCCUGGGACUCCCAGAGCAGUCAGGGCCCUCCCAGGACCGCCAAGCUCAUGACAACCGUUAUGGUUGUCAUGCCCUGAUGGCGGCCCUGGCUCCAACUGUGGGUUAAUUUGAAGCCAGUUAAACAGAUAGCAGUGGUUCCAAAAUGCAGUCAAGUACUGAAACAACAGUAUGGUUACACUGAGCACCUUUUGCAUCGAUUCAACCUACAGAAUGUAAUUAUUGUAAAUGUAAUGUUUAAAUGCAGGACUACUUCACAUGGACCUAAAUGCUUGCCUCCUGUACUAAAUGAUGGGGUGCACAUUAGAUGACGUUCUCAAAAAAAAGAAAAAUUUAAAAAAAGUUUUCAAAACUCAAAGCUAGUUUUACAGAACAUUAACCCUUACAUAUCUGAAAACAAUAUAUUUCAAUUAAUUGAGUCUGAAAUAUUAAGAAAAAUAUUGGGGAGCUGAACCCUUGGGAAAAAUCAAAAUAUCGUCAGCAGGAAAAUUAAAGCUUGCCGGGGAAAUCAGACUUAUUGGUUUGGAUCCCUUUGUCAGCAUAAGCCUUUCAUUUACACCUUACUAUAAGCCUUGACAGCUCUGGGCUAGCUGUCAGAUCAAAUGUAUCAAAAGUACAAUUUCCAGCCAAGUGAACAGAAAAAAAUAUAUAUAUCACACCUUACCUAAAAUGUCAAUUACAAAAGAUCAAAGGCAUUUUAAGAAUUAGUACUCUAAAAAAAAAAAAAAAAACUCCCAUUGGAAAGAAAUGCCGUCAGAAAGAAAGAUGUCUUGUGGUGAAUAUUAGGUGACCUACUGCUUGGAGAAAAGUCUCAAAAAAAGGAUCACACGAUGUGCGUUACUAACUGGGACAAAGGUUAUAGUAUCAGGUGGUAGUCAUCAAAACAAGCAACAGUCAGACAUCAAUCACAGAUUAUUCAGGAGGUUUAAAGGACUUUGUUUACAGAAUGGCUGCCUGAUGGGCUGCGAUAGAAGAUAUUGAUGACCUAAGUGUCAAAAAUAUUGUAAGCAAUCAAAAAAAAAAAAAUGUCCUUAGCUUAUUUGAAGGCCAACAAACAAACUUAUAAUACUAUGUUAUUGUUGAUAUUAUCCACCAUUUGUCACGUCUGUAUUGUGGUGUGUGCCAAUAGACAUGACAGACUGGAUAAACUUUUUCAGGGUUCUAGCAAAAGCUCAUCAGCAAUACAGGUCUUUCAUAGACCUACACAAGUCUACUCAUAACUACCUCCUAUAGGUGGAGGAUAUCGGCAAGGGGUACGCCAUCGUUCGACACAUAGCAACAGUAUAUAUGUUGUCUUGAGUCAUCAAGGGUAUAAUUGUAACAAGCACAAUUAUAUUUGUCUCCCCUACAAUUAGAUACUACACGUCCUGCUCACCUCUUGUUAGGUAUAUUGUUUGAAUAUAAUGGGUUUCCAGUUCUUGGUGGUCUAAAUGGAUCAGGAGAAGAACACAGAGCGCUCAGUAUGGGUCUCUAUGCAUUGUGCAAAACCGUAAAUGAACCCAAGUCACAACAGAUUCCAGUAGAGCUUUUACUGUAACGAUAUAUGCGUAUAUUGUCUUUUGUCCCUUAUAUAGGAGCUGCUCCUGGAUCAUGAACAUUUUAUGUGCAAAUUCUGGUGUGCCUUGGGUUCAUUUACUGUUUUGUAUGUAUAUCCGGUGGGGAACGGAUUAUUUUCACCUAGUACCCUUUAAUACCAUAUCACUAGAUCACCCAUUCCAGUAGAGCUUUUCCUGUAACUAUAUAGGCGAAUAGACUCUACGCAUUGUGCAUCGUGUGACACAGAGCAAGGGCAGGAAUAUUUAUAUAAUGUAUUAUAUUAUUUAUAUAUAUUAUAUUUAUACAAUAUUAUUCCAUAUCUUCAUAUAACAGCAUUGACUAUUAGUACAGAGAUGUUAGUUUUUCAUAGGGGAAAUUGAUGGAACAUAGAAACAUAGAAACAUAGAAACAUUGAAUGUGACGGCAGAUAAGAACCAUUCGGCCCAUCUAGUCUGCCCAAUUUUCUAAAAACUUUCAUUAGUCCCUAGCCUUAUCUUAUAGUUAGGAUAGCCUUAUGCCUAUCCCAUGCAUGCUUAAACUCCUUUACUGUGUUAACCUCUACCACUUUAGCUGGAAGGCUAUUCCAUGCAUCCACUACCCUCUCAGUAAAGUAAUACUUCCUGAUAUUAUUUUUAAACCUUUGUCCCUCUAAUUUAAGACUAUGUCCUCUUGUUGUGGUAGUUUUUCUUCUUUUAAAUAUAGUCUCCUCAUUUACUGUGUUGAUUCCCUUUAUGUAUUUAAAUGUUUCUAUCAUAUCCCCCCUGUCUCGUCUUUCCUCCAAGCUAUACAUGUUAAGAUCCUUUAACCUUUCCUGGUAAGUUUUAUCCCGCAAUCCAUGAACCAGUUUAGUAGCCCUUCUCUGAACCCUCUCUAAGGUAUCAAUAUCCUUCUGAAGAUACGGUCUCCAGUACUGUGUACAAUACUCCAAGUGAGGUCUCACCAGUGUUCUGUACAAUGGCAUGAGCACUUCCCUCUUUCUACUGCUAAUACCUCUCCCUAUACAACCAAGCAUUCUGCUAGCAUUUCCUGCUGCUCUAUUACAUUGUCUGCCUACCUUUAAGUCAUCAGAAAUAAUCACCCCUAAAUCCCUUUCCUCAUAUGUUGAGGUUAGGACUCUAUCAAAUAUUCUGUACUCUGCCCUUGGGUUUUUACGUCCAAGAUGCAUUAUCUUGCACUUAUCCACAUUAAAUGUCAGUUGCCACAAUUCUGACCAUUUUUCUAGUUUACCUAAAUCAUUUGUCAUUUGGCUUAUCCCUCCUGGAACAUCAACCCUGUUACAUAUCUUAGUAUCAUCAGCAAAAAGACAUUUUGCUCCAAUGGGUGUAAAGGUCCCAUGUCCACCCAGAACUAGUAUAGCAGGUAGAGGGUAUUGAAGGGGGUCCAGCACUACCAGAACGAUGUAUCUCAUAGCUGUGACUGUCACUCUGCACUCACUAUUGUUAUUCCAGACUAUAUCCACAAUGACUAACAUUAAGAACUCUAGCUGCUGGUUUAACAGGAGAUCUGAUGUGUCGUACCAUUGCCAAUUGCUGUAUUAUUUUGUCAAUUGCCAAAUUCAUUACUAAAUUCUAAAGUGCAACAUGCAAUCUGGUGCUGGAGUGAAAGGUUUGAAUGUAGUCUAAGACUUUUUCAGGUGUGAAUUAAUCGGUAUUAAGACAGCCAUUCGAAUAUUUCAAUUCUCUAUUUUGAUGUGUGUCCUUUUUUUGGUGGGGGGGGUGAGAGGCAAGCGGGGGGGGGUUACAAUAAAAUAAACUAAAUUGAGCAGAAAUAGCAGCAAGUGUUUCACUCGAUAUUGGUGCUCACUCUUCUCUGCGUCUGUUUGGUAAAGCCAGCUGAAACAUUCUACGAGGAAUACGAGUAUGGUGUGGCAAGUAAAGGGUUGCCAAAUGGCCAAAAACAUAGCAACUGUACUUUCCUAGCAUUGGAAUAUAGGAAUUUUGCACCUAUUUUAUAUCCUUUUAUAGAACAAAUCUUUAACACAAAGAUGUGCGCUUGUUCUCUUUUAGAUAACUGUUGAAGAGUCCCUUCCAUCUCAUGGCUAUAUAUUAAAUAGAAUCAGAAAUUCACUUACUUACAAACUGCAAUUUGUCAGAAUUUGGGCUGAUCAGGUGAUCGUUUGAAUUCUAGAACUCCGAGCUGAAAUGUAGCCAAAUCUCAAACCACACAAAACGCACAACGGCCGAGCAUAUUGUUUUUAUUCAGGAUUCUAAUUCAAAAGAUAUGAUUGAUAGUGAAAAUGAUGAUGGAUAGCGGGGUUAAUUACUAAAGUGAGAAUUGGAAGGAAAUUUAAGGGAAUUUCAAAUUUAAGGCCAAAAUAAACGAAGGGGAAGCACAGCUAACUUUCCAGUUGUGCAAUUUUAGAUUUAAGUUUGAAAUUCUUUUUGAAUUCCCAAUAAUCUCACUUUAGAAGUGAGCGAAAUAGCGGAAAAAAAAUGAGAAGCAGUUAAAAAAAAAAUAAUCUAUAUUUAUACAUUAAAUAUAUUUUAGAAAUCUAUAAUAUUUAAAUAUAGAUUUUUUUCAUGGUCCUCCUGUGUUUCCCUUUACUGCUUACUUCUGCUCACUCGUAAAUGGCAUGAACAUGCUCCUAUCAGUGUACUGCAAAAUAAAUACAUAAUAUUUAUAUUAAACAGACAUAUGGCUGGAAAAAACAAACAAUAAAACGACUUCAAAAAUAUGGUUCGGCCCAAAACAAAUGUCCUCGGCGUGCACAAGUCUAAUAUUGAACACUGUAUCUGACACUCCACUAAAUCAAGGUUAAUAAGAAUUAUGGGUUAUUUUCUGACUCAUUAUCAGCCUGUGCAUUACAGCUAUUGAACUGUUGAUAAAAGCAGCAAUUUUACCAGCCGCUAGUAAAGAAUAGAAUCUUUAACCUGACGACCUUGAUGUGAGUCUUCCUCUCUGUAAUUAUUGCAUCACAAAUGACAUCCUGUAAUUGGGACCAACGUCAUGUAAAUGAAUUGUGGAUAUGAUUCAUGAGGUAAUAAUAUCACAAAAUGCGUUUUCCUGCUCAUUUAAGAUUAGAGGAGAUUAACUUGUACAUUACUAGUUACGAUCAUCGUGAUCGUAAAAACGCUGAAUUUUUAAUGGAAACUCUAUUUCAGUAGACGGUUUUAGAAUAGUAAUGGUAUGUAAAUGAAUAAAAAAGAUUUAAAAAAAAAGACAAUAUUUCUUUUAAUUUUACAUAAUCUAAGAUCUAUCAGAAAAUUGGACAGUAAGAAUCAAGGUGUAUUGAGAUACAAAGGGUUUUAAACUUAAACUCUGCUCCCCAUUAUGUCUCAAGCCUGGGAUUUUGAGUAUUUAUUAUUUCUCUGGAAAAUACGACUGAAUAAAACUGUUAAAAUCACCUACAACUUAUUUUAACCUUUUUCAUGAGAUGCUCUGUACUAUUUAUGUUUAUUUUAUAAAAUGUAGUAAAUUACAUCACAAUCCAGUACAUUCAAGGCACAGACAGGGCAUAGCAUGCAAAUAAGGAAGAGAAAUACCAACAUUGUUUCAUUUUGCCUAUACUCUGUAUACAUCCUCUAAGAGGACUGUCAACUUCCAUGGACAGAGGUUAUAACAAUGAUUUACAUGAAGCUCAGAUGGAGAUGCAGGACAGUCACCGAGUAGAUGGUCUCAUUACAUAACAAAAAUUAUUGUCCCCUACACCUCUUAAAAAUUUUUUUUUCAAAAUCCUGUGUCUUUGUUCACACUAACUGCCUAUUUCUCCGGGACAUAUUCUCGGUAAUUAGAAGCAUCACGGCUAUUUCGUUGUUAUACCUUUAGACCAUUAUCAUAGCCCUUUCUUUUUGGGUUUUGAUUUGACUUUAAUUUUACAGUCUAUCGUGUUAUUCAUUAAAUCUGUGUACUACCCCCCUAUGUUAACGGGGGAUACAUUUACUUGUGAAUUGGUAUCUCUCUCUACACAAGGGUAUUUUAAUAGUGGCUUGAUCUCUCAGUUCAACUUCCAGGGAACACUAUUUUAUUACCAUACUUUCGCCACAUAUACCCAUUUUUCUAACACUAAGUCCAUUAUAUCCCCUCUUAAUCCCUCGGAUCAUUUACACAGACUGUCUACAUUUUUUGCAACAAUUUGCAACUUAUUAUUUAGAUACAGUCAUUUAUUUUGAUCAUUAUUUUGGAUUAGUUACUAUGAGAUAUUGCAUGGUCCUAUUUUACUAUGUUUGUUAUUUAUUUUCUUCGUGUUGUUCCUUAUGAGGGACUAAUAAAGAGUAUAUUGUUCUACCUCUCUAUUUAGGCACUGUCCAUAUAUUUGCAGAGCAGCUUAUCAGUAAAGGAUACAAGGUCUAAUAGGGGGGCAGAUCUUCUUAAUCUUCUACCCUUUAGUCCUUCUCUCUUUCCUUAAUGUCACAUUACUUUAAGAAAUGUUUGCUUAGAAAUCCAAAAAUCACAUUCUUGCCAGUGAGCAAGAUUUUGCAAAAAUCCAGAAAACGUUCUACAUCUCUACAAAGAAAAAUAUAUAUAUAUAUUUCUGUCUAAAGCACACCAAUAUACAGUUCAAAAGAAAUUGUUGCUAGGUAAUCCAGAGUACCACAUUUAAAAAUCAUAAUAUAAAUUAGGUUUCCUUUUUUUCUUCUUUUUUUUUUAAAGAACAUAUAAACAAACAUUUUGCAAAAAGUUUUGGCUACAGUACUGCUCGAUUAAACAAAGAUUUGUUUCCAGCCUCUAAUAAAGGUAUCCUAAAAUAUUAAAGGACCACUAUAGGCACCCAGACCACUUCAGCUCAAUGCAGUGGUCUGGGUGCCAUGUGCCACUAGUGUUAACCCUGCAGCUGUAAACAUAGUUUCAGAGAACCUGCGAUGUUUCACUGAGGGUUAAUCCAGCCUCUAGUGGUUGUCUCACUGGCAGUCGCUAGAGAUGCUUCUGCGAUUCUCACUGUGAAAAUCACAGUGAGAAGACGCUGACGUGCAUAGGAAAGCAUUUCUCAAUGGGCGGUUUGAAUGCGCGCACGGCUCUUGCUGCGCAUGCGCAUUCGGCACUGACGUUGGCUGAGGGAGGAGCGUUCCACAGCGCCUAGGGAGCCCGGCGCUGGAGAAAGGUAAGUGAUUUAACCCCUUCAGCUCAGCUGGAGUGGGACCCUGAGGAGGUGAGGGGGACAUAAAGACCCCAUAGUGCCAGGAAAACGAGUUUGUUUUCCUGGCACUAUAGUGGUCCUUUAAAGAAUAUUUGUAGAUUAAAUGGAUGUAGUUACAGUUUUAUUCAAUUUCAACUUUUAGGCCACAAUAGCCAAAAUUAAAACAUGACUAACUCAGGAUUUUUCCAGUUCGGUUAUUUCAGCCUAAAAUGUUAAUUCACUUUGGAUUCUCAACAACAAUUUACACUUUUAUAUUUGGAUUUUAUAUUCCAAAGAACUAUAUAUCACGACAUAAUGACAUUCCAUGAUGUAUACCAACACCUAGCAAAGCAUCGAAGACUUCUACAUGCUGAAUACUAAAAUACUCUGUCCACGGUGCUGAACAAACCUGUAGUGCUAUUUAUUGAACUUAGAGAUUUGUUUUGGGCCAUAAUGCAAUUUAACCGAAUUCCCAAACUCUGAGCCAAGAUGUACAUCAAUCACAGACCAGCUGAAGCACACAAUGCCGAACGUGUUAGGUUUUAAUAUUAUACUUUUUUUUUCUGAUCCUCUUGUUUUCCUCUCUAUUCGUUACUUUUACUUGGUUGAUCUGUAAACCAAAUGUUUAUUUUGGUGCACUGCAAAAUAGAUGCAUAUUAUGUAGAUAUUUUGCAGCACACUGAUCGGCCCAUUUCUUUUGUCCUUCCGAAUUGGUAUCUCGUUUUCAAACUUCUUUCAAGCCGUCAUUCAGGCAAUAUUUGGGUGUCACGAAUAAUUCCUUAUUUUCAGAAAAGUGGUUCGGUUAAGUGGAAUUUUCCUGCAAUGCACAACUCUGCUAUUUAUUGGUAUUACUGAAACCAUUAUAUUUUACAUGAUAUAUGUAUAUAUUUUUCAAGUAACAAAAGGUAUAUGCUUUAAAAGGCUGAUGAUGAUCUUUGCCAUUAUAUGGCUACAUGCCAAAAAAUAUGCAAGGGAAGGGUUAAAUGUCACUGUUUGCUAACGCUUUUAGUUAAAAAUUCUGUAUGCAUGUAUGAGUCACAGUGACUUCAUUUACCCCCAUUGGGAAUACUGACAGAAAAACACAAAGGGUACAAAAGCUUGUGAAAAAAACUUAAAAUAAAGGCACAGUUCUGGUGAUUUAAUUUAAUUUUUCUAGGUUUUUUCAAUUUUAAUUCUAAUAGAAAAUAUUGACACUUCCAUCUAUCAGAUAAUUAGAUUACAUCAUGAGAUCUGAUUAGAGGAUUUAUCAAGGACAAAGCAUAUAUUGUAAGACUGAUGUAAUUUGUGAACACAUUAAUAAUAUACAGGUCUAUUACUCUAGCAUUACUUCAUCUAAUUGUGAAUGUAUCCCAAUAUGGUGAAUACAAGAUCCUAUUUACUCAACUCAAUUUAAUUUAAUCUACUCUAGACUUAGGCACAACAAGAAGAUUCUGCUCGGUUGAACAAUUCUUUCAGAAAAAAAAAAAAAGGAUAUUUUUCAGGACACCCAGAAUUCCGCUAAAUAUUUGAUCGGCUCAGCAGAAUUUCGGAACCGAGAUUUAGAUUUGGGAAACGAAUCAGAAGAACAAACAAGAGACAUAUAUAAGAAAAUAAGACUGCUGAAAAAUAUAUACAUAAUAUGAUAAUAUGUAUAUUGUUUGCAGUACACUUAUAGGAGUGUUUUCCCAAUAUAUUUGGUUCAUAGAUGUAUGGUAGAGAAGUAAUAAUGGUCACAUCUCAAGUUAGGACCUUUUGUUACAAUUAUGAGACCUAAACGUUAUAGUAUACCAUUUUAAACAGUUCAGUGUUUCCAAACGUGUGACAGCAGUUCCAGAAAAGGUCCUUUAAUGAGCAAAUGGUUCGUUCUUGUGGUAUAUUAAUGCUAUGAAUGUCCUGUUUAUUCUUACUGUCAAAUGUAACUGUGUUUGAAUUGCCUCAAUGAAAACCAUUUCAAAUAAAAUGAGGAUGCAUUUGGAAUUUGAUAUUCUAUAAGCAGAAAUCAAAAUAUUUUAGGCCAUGUAAUGGAUAACAUCUACAACAUGAUGUAUAUGUAGAUGCAUGUCUGGAUGUACACUAUUUCAGCUGUAUAAAGUAAAGACAAAUAAGUUGAUGGGGCCUGAUGGGAUACACCCAAAUUUAUUAAAAGAACUUAGUGCUGUACUAGCAAAACCAUUAGCUGAUUUAUUUAAAGGGACACUAUAGUCACCACCACCACUACAGCUUAAUGUAGUUGUUCUGGUGAGUAUAAUAUCUCCCUUCAGGCUUUUUUCACACAAACACUGCCUUUUCAGAGAAAAUACAGUGUUUACAUUGCCCCUAGGGACACCUCCAAGUUGCCACUUGUCAGAUGGCCAGUGGAGAUGCUUUCUAGGGCAUCAUUGCCACGUAGCGUCUCCACGCUCUGCAUGGGGAGGUUGAAUUUUCCUCAUAGAGAUGCAUUGAUUCAAGUCAUCUCUAUGAAUAAGUGCUGAUUGGCCAAAACAGUGUUUGGCCCCACCCCCAUCCUGCCUCCUUGCCGAUUUUAGCCCUACGGGAAAGCAUUGGAUUGGCUAAAAAUCGGCAAUGGAAAUAAGGUGAGUUUUAAUUCCUUGUAAGGGGGUCGAGGGGGGGCAAGCUAUAGGGUCAGGAAUACAUGUUUGUGUUCCUGACCCUAUAGUGUUCCUUUAAUCAAUCAUUGUUAACGGGAGUAGUCCUGAAUGAUUGGAAAUUAGCAAAUGUUGUACCCAUUCACAAGAAAGGUAAUAGGGAGGAGUCGAGCAACUAUAGGCCAGUAAGCCUUACUUCAGUAGUGGGGAAAGUGACGGAAACCAUGUUAAAGGAUAGGAUUGUUGAACAUCUAAAAACACAUGGAUUCCAAGAUCAGAGACAACAUGGGUUUACUUCAGGGAGAUCAUGCAAAACUAAUCUUAUUGAUUUUUUUUGAUUGGGUAACUAAAAUAAUAGAUCAGGGUGGUGCAGUAGACUUUGCUUACCUAGAUUUCAGUAAGGCUUUUGACACUGUUCCACAUAGAAGGCUUAUCAAUAAAUUGCAAACUUUAAGUUUGGAUUCCAAUAUUGUUGAAUGGAUAAGGCAGUGGCGGAGUGACAGGCAACAGAGGGUUGUAGUCAAUGGAGUAUAUUCGAAGCAUGGUCUUACCAGUGGAUCUGUACUUGGACCCAUGCUCUUCUAUAUUUUUUAAUGAUAUUGCAGAAGGCCUUGAUCGUAAGGUAUGUCUUUUUGCUGAUGAUACUAAGAUAUGUAACAGGGUUGAUGUUCCAGGAGGAUAAGCCAAAUGGCAAAUGACUUAGGUAAACUAGAAAAAUGGUCAGAGUUGUGGCAACUGACAUUUAACGUGUAUAAGUGCAAGAUAUUGGGCGUAAAAACCCCAAAGGCAGAGUACAGAAUAUUUGAUAGAGUCCUAACCUCAACAUCUGAGGAAAGGGAUUUACGGGUGAUUAUUUCUGAUGACUUAAAGGUAGGCAGACAAUGUAAUAGAGCAGCAGGAAAUGCCAGCAGAAUGCUUGGUUGUAUAGGGAGAGGUAUUAGCAGUAGGGAGAGGUAUUAGCAGUAGAAGUAUUAUUUUACUGAGAGGGUAGUGGAUGCAUGGUAUAGCCUUCCAGCUGAAGUGGUAGAAGUUAACACAGUGAGGGAGUUUAAGCAUGUGUGGAAUAGGCAUAAGGCUAUCCUAGAGAACAAUGCAUGUAUUAAGAAAGUUGGGCAAACUAGAUGGGCCGAAUGGCUCUUAUCUGCCGUCACAUUCUAUGUUUCAAUGUUUCUAUAUCAGUUACAACAUUAAAACCGCUGGCAUGUGAAGUGAAUAACAUUGAUUAUAUCAUUACAAUGGCACCUGUCAAGGGGUGGAAUAUUUUAGGCAGCAAGUGAACUGUCAGUUCUUGCAUUUCAUGUGUCGGAAGCAGAAGAAAUGGGCAAAUGAAAAUAUCUGAGUGACUUUGACAAGGGCCAAAUAGUGAUGGCUUGAUGACUGGGUCAGAGCAUCUCCAAAAUUGCAAAUCUGGUGGGGUGUUCGUGGUAUGCAGUGGUUAGUACCUAUCGAAAAAGAGGGGCAAGGAAGGUCAACAAUAGCUGCAUAGCCACAGACAAAGUGUCCACCACCAAAAGUGUCUUCAAUGGGGACGUGAGCAUCAGAUCUGGACCAUAGAGGAAUCGAAGAUGGUUGCUUGGUCUGAUGAAUCACAUUUUUAUUCAGAUCAAGUGGAUGGCCAGGUGCGUGAGCUUCAUUUAUCUGGGGAAAAGAUGACAGCAGGAUACAUUAUGGGAAGAAUGCAGGCCAGUGGAGGCAGUGUUAUGCUCUGGGCAAUGUUCUGCUGGAAAACCGAGGGUCUUGGCAUUCAUGUAGAUGUUAAUUUGACAUGCACCACCUACCUAGAGAUUGUUGCAGAUCACAUGCACCCCUUCAUGUCAGUGGUGUUCCCUGAUGGCAGUGGCCUCUUUCAGCAGCAUAAUGAACCCUUUCAAAUUGCAGAAAUUGUUCAGGAAUGGUUGCAGGAACUAGACAAAACAUUCAAGGUGUUCUCUUGGCCUCCAAAUUUCCCAGAUCUCAAUUUGAUUGAGCAUCUGUGGGAUGUGCUGGAACAACAAAACUGAUCCAUGAAGGCCACCCCUCGCUACUUGCAGGACUUAAGAUCUGUUGCUAAUAUCUUGGUGCCUGAGACCACAGGACAUGUUCAGAGGUCUCGUGGAGUCCAUGCAUCAGAGCUGUUUUGGAAGCAUGAUGGGAACGUACAUAAAAUUAGCCAAGUGGCUUUCAUGUUGUGGCUGAUCAGAGUAUGUCCAUUGCUCAGCAUUCAGGUCUGUCUUGUAUAGAAAGGUGCUCAAAAAUUAGAAAAUAAUAAAUGCACAGCGAAAAAACCAGUUCUGUGACCGCAUUCUAACAUGAUGGACCUUUCGGAAAGUAUAAAUGUAGAAAGAUCUCCAAGUAAAUUAUUCUAUACAGAAAGGAUACCCAAUGUUGGCACUUCAUACAUUUCUGGACUUUGUCUCCAUAAUGCUCAGUCAGCUAUUGGAGAUGGGGUCUACAAACAUCUGUAGUCACAAGGCUAACAGUCUUUUCACUAAUGAAAAUAAGAAUGUUAAUAUUGAUCUGCUUACACUUAACAGAAUAUUUACAUCUAAAUUACUGUCAUAUCAGCCUAUCGAUAUAAUAACUGUUCUUCCUAGUAAACCAACUGAUAGAAACUUUAUAAACUUGAAAGCUCGACUGUUGUAAACAGAGUAUAUAUCAGCUUAGUGGACAAGCAGUACCACACAGCAACUCAUUUUAUUUGCAUCGAUUGCACAGUGAAAUUUAAUUCUCUUGUGCAAGUAGAAUCGUUAAGGCUGGGACAUUGUGCUGGGAAAUAAUUUAAAGAAUUUGAAUACCAAUGAAUGAGCUAACACAAUAAAAUAUUACUUCUUCAAAUACAGGAAACUAGAGGCCUUUAAACCAUUUCAACAAAAUAAAUGGUAAAUUGUACUCUAUACAAAAUCCGUUUUAAUGAAAUGAAUUGAUUCCCAAUUUAACACAUUUUACUGAAAGCUCGACUCCUACCUUUUUAUUCCAUAACCUCCCUUCAAAAAAAACCCCCCAACCUUACAACCUUUGUGUAAUCUGUGCGGUACAGUUCUAGAAAUGCCUAUAUAAUCUGUGUCAAACAAACAAUGUUGCAUUAUACACUGAAAGAGAUUUAUCAGAAGCACAUUGUAAUUUCUUCCGAACACAAUUGCGUUAUGUCUCUAUUCAGAAGGUACAGUUUCAGUGAAACACAUUUAUUUGUCAUGAGGGGAAGAAAAUGAGAAUACAAAAGAAAAAUUGUAACUGUAACGGCAUAUGCAAAUUUCACUAUCAAGCUGUGAAUGUCUUUACAAUGAGUUUUUUUUUUUUUUCAAACACCGUUCUAUAGUUUGUCUAUAUAAUAUUAACGUGACACGCGGGAUUAAGACUAGGGGCAGCAAGAGUGCUUAGCUACCAUUUAGAGGUCAUUAUGGGUCACAGAGUGCCGGGGUGGAUAUACUGUAAUAUAGUCCUUUGAUUUAUUUACGAUUCAUUUAAAAAAAGAGUGAAAUAAACGUAGAUUCAAACAUCCGAGAGCUCUGAGUUGAUUUAUGAAACGUAAAAUUAUAUAUAUUUUUUUAUUAAAUAUUAAGGUUUCAGUUAAGACGGUUAGUCUGUUUUUUCAUUUUGUUCUUCAUUUUACAUGAUAAAUAUACAAGCAAGUUCUAUCUAUUUAAGUAUCUAUUGUGUACAUUUAGUUGUGUUUACAGAAGUGUAUAAUGUUAGCGUUACACUUCAGCAAUUGGUACAGGAGCAGAGGAAAUGUAGCCAAGCCAUCAGAGAGACCAACAGCUGUAUUCAUCCAUUUGAUCAUUAUCUAGAACUACUAGACUUGUGCAUUCGGUUUUAGGCGAUUUGCAAUUUAUCAGAAUUUUGGUUAAGGGCAAUUCGUCCCAUUUCCCAAAUUACAAAAUGCUAUACGGACAAAUCAUGACACGGACAAUCGACAAGCUGUUUGUUUUGUUAUUUAGAUGUAUAUAUGGUCAGAGCUGUGGCAACUGAAAUAUAUAUAUAUUUACACUUAAAAUUAUAAACGCAACAUUUUUGUUUUUGAUGAGCUGAACUCACCUGUGCAAUAAUCCUGCUGUCUAAUCAGCAUCUUGAUAUGCCACACCUGUGAGGUGGAUGGAUUAUCUCGGCAAAGGAGAAGUGCUCACUAACACAGAGUUAGACAGAUUUGUGAACAAUAUUUGAGAGAAAUAGGCCUUUUGUGUACAUAGAAAAAGUCUGAGAUCUUUGAGUUCAGCUCAUGAAAAAUGGGGGCAAAAACAAAAGUUUUGCGUUUAUAAUUUUGUUCAGUGUAAAUAUAUAUAUAUUUCAUUUUCCUUUGUAUUUACCCGUUAUCUGACUGUAAAGUGGUAGGGUUACACUACUACGUGAAAUUUUAAUAAUUUGAUUAGAAAUGUUAUAUAUUUUGUCCAAACAUAUAGGGAAUUAUCUUUCUAGAACUCCUGAGACCCAACGUAACAAUUCUUGAGUGAAGGAUAAUUGAGGAUUGACAUAGUAUAGAAACCCACAUACAGCCCCCAGAGAAGCAUUUUUUCUUUAACCCCUUAAGGAAACAUGACAUGUGUGACAGCAUGAUGGGUUCCCUUUUAUUUCUGAGGUUUGGUCCUUAAGGGGUUAAAGAGACUAACCUUCACAUAAUGAUGUGAACUUUGACUUGCUGUACAGUCCAGCCUCCAGGGAAGGUUUUUUGUUGAACGUAGUUUUAGAAGUGAUUUGAUUUUGUGAUAUAAUAAAAGGCACUAUUUAACCUUCUGACAGUUGACAAGGAAUUGUCAUGAAGUGAAAUGCAGUAUUACAGCUUCCGGGAAUAGAACAUAACAUGACAGUAAGUGAACACUGAGGAAUUUAUUCACUAAGCAAAAAAUUGUGGUGAAUUGAAAGCCAAACUAAAAAGUUUUGCCUACAAUAGUCGAGUUGUGGCUACAGCCAAGAUAAUUCUUUUAGAUCAAAUUUUGUAAUUAUGUUUUCAACUUACCACCAUUCUAUGUUUACAGAAUAACACCCAUAGUUAGGGCCGUCUUUCACCAUGGGCACGCUGGGCAUGAAAAGAUCUCCCACACCAGCUCAUGUCCCUUUGUUAGAGAGGAGAGAGAGGGGGGAGGACCGGAGACAAAAGGAGGGACCUGGGAGGAGAUAGCUCCUCCCGAAAACAGGCUGUGUGCAGCAUUGCCGUGCGUUGCCAUGGCAAUGCUCCACACAACACUCAGCUUGGGAGGAGUGAAGAUAGCCUGCAGCCAGAGGAACCACCGGACCACCAUGGCUGGCAGUGUCCCCCCCUUCCUUCAUCAACGGUAAGAAGAAAGGUUGGGGGGGGGGCAUAAAGAUUUUAUUAAUAAUGCACAUUUAUUAUUUAAAAUAAUCAAACAAACAAGAAAACCUUUGCUCCAUGCACCCCUCACACUCUGCAACACACACACACCACUCACCCCUAACAUACAGCACCUCUCUCACACACAGCACCCCUCUCUCACACACACACACAGCACCCCUCUCUCACACACACACACAGCACCCCUCUCUCACACACACAGCAACCCAUCUCUCACACACAGCACCCCUCACACACACACAGCACAUUUCACACAUACAGCACCUCUCACACACACACACACACAGCACCUCUCACACAGCACCCCUCCACACACAUACACUGCAGUCUGUGUGUAUUCAGCAGUCUGUGUGUAUGCAUUGUAUGUAUCCAUUUCAUUUGUUGGAGGUACCAAUAAAAUUAAAUAUAAGCUUAAUUUUAUCAAUAAUUUACGUUUUAAUUCCUGUUAGAUGGUACUGCCCAUAGUCUGCUCUUCUGAUACCAAGAGAGACUUUCUGAUGCCCUAAUGCCAAACAAAUCACAAAUGGAAUGUUCUACCAGGUAACUCAAAAACUCCACUUCAUAUUGAUAUGAAGAACUCAUCUUGGUAUGGUGAUAUAAAACAAAUCAGGAGAGCUUUGGGGUUUGUUUCUUUCACAGUUUAUUUGCUGUGCUUAGAUAAUAAUAGCUUAGAAGAAAUGUAAUAUAAUACAGCAGUUUAUAGGUUCCCCCCCCAUGUGUGAUGGUACUUGAUAUAAACAACAGAAGUGGCUUGUGGGGCCCAUAGGGGCUAAAUUGUCAUAAUUUCUGUUAUAUCACUUUUUCGAUUAUCCUCUCUAAACACUUAUAUGUCUUUCAUUCUUUCCAGAUAUGUGUUGAGAUGAAAACAUAAGCUGUUAUCUUACACUUUAAAUAGAUUUCUGUUUUAUGGUAUCGUCAAGGUAAAAUGGUUUAUAAGCAAUUAUAUUCUUAUUAACAUCUAGUUCUGGCUAAUAGCUCUCAUCAGACACAUUGUAUUUUAUUUUCUCUGCUGGUUUUCUACAUAUACAAAUUCUACAUUUUAGCCAUAUUGGAAAAAUAGAGAAAAAAAAAACAUUUAAAAAAUAACACUAAUAUUAAAAAUAGAUUUUUUAAUUUGUUCAUUGUUAGUGUUGCGGAGGUUUAGAUUGUGUUCCCCUCCACCCUCUGUAAAAUAAAAAUGAAAUAAACUGUUAUUUCUAAUUACUGGUAAGUCAGGACCAGGCAGUCGCUCAUCCUCUCCUCUAUGUGGUUGAUCUCUGGCCAAAUGAGAUGCUUCUCACAGAGAAGCACUGUGAACCUACUAGGCAUGCGUGGCAGUCACCACACUCUGCUAAUUAGAUGCUUUUUAUAUAUAGAAGCUAUUAAUCCAAUGCUUUUCAAUAAGCAGCAUUCAAAACAUUUGGUGGCGCUGAACAUCUGCUAUCUGGCUGACAUUCUGAUUAACCAGCACUAGAGGCAUGCUUACUGACAAAUCUAAACAUUGCCAUAUCUUAUAAACAAUUAUAUUAACUAUUGCCGUAGUGUGGGGACCGGAUCUUCACACCAAAAGCACAACAAUAAAAACACAAAAAUUCUAAAAUACUCUGCUCAAACACUCGCUCUUUCAAGGUAGCAGAAAUCACAGUUCUGGUUAAAAAAACAAAAGCCUAGGUACAGUCACUAGACAUGGAGAAUAAUCAAGUCAAAUUCAAGAUCCUGAUAACAAAAAGGUUAACAGUAACCAUGAACGAGCAAUGACUUGGCAAUCAUUAUAAGUUUGUAUAGGGCCAAAUUGAACUAAACGUCAAUUAAACUGAGCCACAAGAUUAAAGUGCAUUUGUUUGGCUCCCUUUUGUUGAGCCAAAUUGAUGUAGGUAAGGUCUUUCAGAAGGAAAGCAUCAUUGGAGUAAACUGCAUGGGAUACACUGCCCCUAGUGGCUGUAGAGGCCAUAGAAAAAUCAAUGUGGGACACUGCUGGCCUAUGAAAGGGCCAGCAGGUCAGUGGAUCUUACAAACAGGGGCUCAUGAGUCCCCUUAUGUACUGUACUGACAGCCACCUAAUAUAAUGUGUUUUUCACUAUUUAGUACAGCUCAUUUCCCACUUCCUUUUUGCCAGUAAUUGUUUACUGUGUAUUGGGAAAAAUUACAAUCGGAGAAAUGAAGGCUACAAAAUGUCACUGCAUGGACCAAGGACAAAUUAUUGUAUCCCUAUCUGUUACAGCUUAUUAAAAAAAUCACCACAAUGUCGAUCCUUACUCUGCAAGAUAUUGCUGCCUUGUCAAUUUAGAAAGACACUCGUGUCAUACUAGCUAAAGGCUGGUGAUAGGGUUAGGAAUAAGGUUAGUGAUAGGGUACUUGAUCGGGUAAGUGAUCGGGGAAGUGAUAGGGUAAGUGAUAGGGUUAGGGAUAGGGAUAAGGUUAGUGAUAGGGAUAAGGUUAGUGAUAGGGAUAAGGUUAGUGAUAGGGAUAAGGUUAGUGAUAGGGAUAAGGUUAGUGAUAGGGAUAAGGUUAGUGAUAGGGAUAGGUUUAAGGAUAGGGAUAGGGUUAGAAAUAGGGUUAGGGAUAGGGUAAGUGAUCGGGUAGGUGAUAGGGUUAGGGAUAAGGUUAGUGAUAGGGAUAGGGUUAGUGAUAGGGAUAAGGUUAGUGAUAGGGAUAAGGUUAGUGAUAGGGAUAAGGUUAGUGAUAGGGAUAGGGUUAGUGAUAGGGAUAAGGUUAGUGAUAGGGAUAAGGUUAGUGAUAGGGAUAAGGUUAGUGAUAGGGAUAAGGUUAGUGAUAGGGAUAGGGUUAGUGAUAGGGAUAGGGUUAGAAAUAGGGUUAGGGAUAGGGUAAGUGAUCGGGUAGGUGAUAGGGUUAGGGAUAAGGUUAGUGAGAGGGAUAAGGUUAGUGAUAGGGAUAGGGUUAGUGAUAGGGAUAGGGUUAGUGAUAGGGAUAGGGAUAGGGUUAGUGAUAGGGAUAGGGUUAGGGAUAGGGAUAGGGAUAGGGUUAGUGAUAGGGAUAGGGUUAGUGAUAGGGAUAGGGAUAGGGUUAGUGAUAGGGAUAGGGUUAGUGAUAGGGAUAGGGUUAGAAAUAGGGUUAGGGAUAGGGUAAGUGAUCGGGUAGGUGAUAGGGUUAGGGAUAAGGUUAGUGAGAGGGAUAAGGUUAGUGAUAGGGAUAGUGAUAGGGAUAGGGUUAGUGAUAGGGAUAGGGUUAGGGAUAGGGAUAGGGUUAGUGAUAGGGAUAGGGUUAGGGAUAGGGAUAGGGAUAGGGUUAGUGAUAGGGAUAGGGUUAGGGAUAGGGCUUAGGGAUGGUUUAGUCACACUGAUGAUGUCCGUGACCUAUGUUAAAAUUAGGAAACUGUUUCUUUGAAUCUAAAAAAAUUAAAUCUGGCAAUACCUCACAAAGUUUAAUUCGCUUGUUAGUACGUUUAUUUGGCAGUUUUGUAGUGCUGCCUUUAAUUUGUGUGUCUCUACAGGUCUAAAGGAUGUAAUGCCAUCCCAUUAAUAAUUGGGCUAAAGGAUGUUUAUCAUCAGGUUCACAGAGAAGAGGAAAAAAAAUUUUUUAUAAUUGUAUUUAAUAAUUCAGUAAAAUAAAACCAGUUGCUCUGCAGACAUGUUGGACCCUAUUAAAAGCUUGUCUGGACUCUACGACCCUUGGUUGAACGCUACGGGUCUUUAUUAUGACCAGCAAAAUAUCAAAUGUAACACUGAAUUUAAAUGAUCAAAUGUCAGAGGCGCAUGAGAUUUAACAACACAACAGAUUCAACUGCUGCACAGUGCAAAAUACGUCUAACACUUCCUCUACCAUGGAGACCUCAUGUCAUUGGGGGGUGGGGGGGGGAAGGAGUGAUCAGCAGGAAAUUAAAACAACUAAUUACAAUUAGUGAACUAAAAAAAGACGAACAUGCGUCUGCUAUCCAUUGUGUUACUGUACACUGAAUUAUUUCACAGAUCAGGUUUGCAGAACAGGAUAGAAAGAUAAUGUGCUAGUCUAUGCUGUAUAGAAAAAAAAUCUUCAUUCACAGNNNNNNNNNNNNNNNNNNNNNNNNNNNNNNNNNNNNNNNNNNNNNNNNNNNNNNNNNNNNNNNNNNNNNNNNNNNNNNNNNNNNNNNNNNNNNNNNNNNNCUGUCACAUUAUUUCACUGAUCAGAUGUUCUCAACCGCCUGCCUUUUUAAAUCUGUCAUAGUAGAAGAGAAUAUGCUUUAUGUUAAAUAGAUACGGAAUGGAAUUCCUCUCUUAUUGUGCCCUAUUCUUAAUAUGUGGAACUUGGAAAAGUUAAUUCCUAAACUGUUACAAGAAUUUUAGGAAACGUGUCUGUAAUUUAUAUGUAUGGAACAUCUGCUCUCUUGAUGUUUGGACAUUCAUAUUUGCAGGAUUAUUCACACAACUUUGAAUUCUAGUGAACUGUUUAGUAAAAUGUAGGAAAAAACCUCUCAGUUAUAUGUCACAAACUAUGAAUACUAAUCCAAAGUUACCCCCCUUACACAGAGGGAUGUGUGUAACAAUAAGUGCUUAAACGUGAAUAAAAACAUUUACAAGCAGCUCUAUAAACCUGUGUGGAAAUAUCCUCUUUUCCACAAGACAAUAAUAUGAAUUACAGUGCAGUGUAAGUGAAAAAGACCUACAAUUAUAAGUGGAGCGCUAAAACAGAUAUAAAGUUUACCAAGCAUAACUUGAUUCCUCAUGUUCAAGGGCAUAAAAAACAAAAGGUACAAUAUAGUGCAGAUGGUAUUUUAAAAGUGCAAUCCAAUGAAUAAUAUAGCAGACAGAACACUCACAUAUUAAGAAGCCUGUAUAUAAAUACUGGCUCCGUAUUUAGGCCUGUGUGCUUAUUUUGGUAGCACCACCCUUCCGCUUCGGCUUCGAGUAGUUCUCAUAUAUAAAACAUAAAGGGAGAGCGAACCAAUGUGCAGACUGUAGCAGUAAAGUUAACGAGUAUAAAAUAGUAAAUGUGGUGCUCACCUGGUCCUGAGCCUAUAGGCCCCGACUCCGAGGUGUAUAGGUAUAGUGCCAAUUUAAAUAGGGAUGGCACUGUCCAUAUGGAGACUCCUGGAAGCUCCAAGAAAGGACUUGAGCAGGAUAGCUUGAGUAAAUUAACAAAAUUUAUUGGUAUACAAUAACAAAUAAAGAAUAAAAAAAUAGAAAAGUCCUUCAAAAUGGCCAAUACACGUUUGACUCUCAAUAGAGCUUCCUCAGUCAGCUGUAGUGAUGGUUCUCUGAAUCCUCCAUUUUAAAUGUCCUUAAUGUCCUUCUCCUUUAAUGAUCCCAAUACAGUUCGUCCAAUCACAGUGAUGAAUAGUUAUUUUCCAUGUGUAGGGUGGAUGGUGUGUUCUGUAAACUGUAAUGUUAAUUGGCCGAAUUUUCAGCGCUUUUAUUUACUUGUAAUAUCAUUGGUGGGCAGUGGUGGUUGGCAGAAGUGUCAGGAGCUCACCGGGAUGGUUGGCAGAAGUGACGUCACGGACCUCCGUGAACGUCAUCUGGCCGCCACCCAGAAGUAACUCCCAGACAAUCCAACUCUGCUGCACGAGUAUCGUGCAUCCGGUCAUAGGAAGGGGACUCUAAUGGGUGGAAGGGGGUGAAUCCUCUGAAAAGAUGAUAUGUAUGCACAUCGGCUCAUCCCGCCCUUUGGGCGUGCCGAUAUGCUUGCAUACUCCUCCUCUCUCCAACACAGCGCACGGUCGUGAAAAAGCAUUAACAAAUAUGGAAAAAGGGGGACAUAAUACAGUGAAUGAAUAGUGGAGGAAAAAAAGGGGGGGAAAGAAGGGAAACAUAUGAUUAAAACUUAAACUUAUGUUUAUAGAGUUUUAAUGUGAUGUCCAUAUUGUAUAUCUAUGUAAAGUGACAUUACUGUGCAUAAAGUGCAUUUUAUGUAUAGUGUCUAUUUAAAGAGAUAUAAUAGUGGUUGUAUUAAGUGUUAAAUUUAGAUUAUUACAUGCAAAGAUGGGUAUCCUGAUGGAUAUAUUUUAGUGUAUCCAAUAAAAUCAAUAUUAAAUUAAUGUUGAUAGGAUAUUAGUAAUAAAGUGGUGAUAAUAAAUUAUUAACGAUAAACAACAAAUUUUAAAUUUAAAAUGUAAUAAAUUUGGGAUGGGGUUAAAACAAGAUGUUAAAGGAUGACAUAUAUAAAGUGUGCUUAUCUAAAAUAAUACAUUUUGUUAUUUUACUCAAGAUAUCCUGCUCAAGUCCUUUCUUGGAGCCUCCAGGAAUCUCCAUAUGGGCAGUGCCAUCCCUAUGUAAAUUGGCACUAUACCUAUAGGCUCAGGACCAGGUGAGCACCAAAUUUACUAUUUUAUACUUGUUUACUUUACUGUUACAGUCUGCACAUUGGUUCACUAUCCCUUUAUGUUUUAUCUAUGAGAACUACUCCAAGCCGAAGCGGAAGGGUGGUGCUACCAAAAUAAGCACACUGGCCUAAGUACGGAGCCAGUAUUUAUACACAGGCUCCUUAAAAUGUGAGUGUUCUGUAUGCUAUAUUAUUCAUUAGAUUGCACUUUUAAAAUACCAUCUGCACUAUAUUGUACCUUUUGUUUUUUUAUGCCCUUGGACAUGUACUCCACACCAUACUACUGAAUCAAGUUACGCUUGGUAAGCUUUAUAUCUGUUUUAGCGCACCACUUAUAGGUGUAGGUCUUUUUCACUUACACCGCACUGUAAUUCAUAUGUCACAAACUGGUUGAUUUAAUAUUUGCACAUUUCAUUAAACUAUCAAGAAGAGGAUAAAAUCAAUUUUGAAACCCAAUCUAAAGGUGCUAAAUAAGCUCUGUAGAAAAAUAGGUCUAGUAAUACUACAACUAUUUGCAACUAUUGCAACUUGUAAAGGAUCCCUGCAUACGUGCAGCGAUGAUCCUUGCAGCUUCUCCCGAAAUCCCGCUGGAACAGAGUGAUUAUAGCUUCCAAUUCCCCAAACAUGAGUCGAGACUUCAUGAAGGGGUAAAACGAUCUGAUUUACUGUGGGCUACCCGCCCGGAAUUUAUGCAGGUCUUCCACCUGGUGGACACUCCCCUAGGGGACCAGAUGGAAGACUGGGACAGAAGUAAUACAGUAGCCAAUCACAGUGGCUAUAGGAUAAACACUCCCCUUUACACAAAUCACUCCUUCUUUCCCAUCCUGGAGAUAAUUAGAUUAAGGUAGCAAAGAGGGCUGUAAUUAUCUCCAGAAGUAAAGAAACAUGCCUUUUUAUAUUUAGCAAAAACAGAAUAAAAAUACAUAACUUUCUCUUUAUAUAACAUAAACUUUAAGUUCCACACAUCCCCAGAUAGCUUGGAUCUGAGUGCAUAUUCUAGGCGAAUAGCGCUCAGAUCCCACGAACACAGGUCCCAGAAUCGUCGACUGAAGUUUGGCUGUCCUUGGCCAUUCGUGUAUUUGUAACCGAUUGCCAGUCCUCUAUUAUGCUAUCUGGGGUCAGCCACGUUCGCAUACUUUAAUGCGCGAAUGAACUAUUAUCCCUUCCUUCGAAUGGUUCUACCGUAUGAACGAGGAUGGGUGAAGGUAGCAGCGGCGUUCGACAAAAUAGGUCGCUGAAAUCAGUUCCAGGGAAUCCUCGCCAUUUGCCGCUGCGCGUUCGACAAAACCAAAAUGGCGAUUGCCACGUGUUCGGGAGGUGAAUGCGGACCACCCGCUAUACCAAUUAGUUUGUGGUUAACCGCAACAGUCAGGGUGGUCAAUGAGCGCCACACGACCUCAGUGGGAGGUCGGUGGUUCGGUAGUUUGUUCGCCUUAUUUGACAAUUUCACAAAAUCCUAUGGUAAUGUUCCAAAUAACCGAACAGGCUUGUUCGUGACGGCUGUGAAUAGGGGAUUUCGUUACACAACUAUCUUUAGGUCAGACAUCAAAAAUAAAUAUGUAAAUGUUUGCACAGUGCUGGAAUUCAUAACCAAGAUCAUCAUCACAUCAUUCUAAUAGGCCCCCAAGCCCUAAUGUCAUCCAUAAAUCUGGGAUCCUUUUUUUAAUAGUAUUGUGACACUGACCCUUGUUCCAAAAAAGUUAACCACAAAUGCUGUCAAUCCUUUCAAAUUAUGUUUGGCACACUUUUUACUCCCCUAUUCAACUCCCUUUGCAUGUCAUCCCAUUACCUAUACCCAGAGUAAGGUAGAAUUAAUUUAGAAUAGUCUUAGCUGUUGAAUGUCAAUAUAUUAUGGGAGAGAGCACAUAGGGACCCACAGGGCUGCCAUCAAAUUUUUUUUGGGGCCCCUGACACAGUUCAAAGUCUGGGCCCCCCGGACCUGCCCCAGAGUCUGCCCACGGGGCCCAUUCUGAGUCCGCCCACAAGGAUGCUCUGUCUGUGUGGUGUGUAAAAUGGAUACAGAGUGCACAUUUGAAUAAUGGAUGUAGUUUUGUGUGUUUUAGAUAAAGUGUGUGUUUGUUAGUGAAUGCAGAGUGUGUUUGUGUUGUAGUUUUAGUGUGUGUAUGGUGAAUGCUGUGUGUGUUUGUGUUGUGGUUUUAGUUUGUGUAUGGUGAAUGCAGUGCGUGUUUGUGUUGUGGUUUUAGUGUGUGUAUGGUAAAUGCAGUGUGUGUUUGUGUUGUGGUUUUAGUGUGUGUAUGGUGAAUGCAGUGUGUGUAUGGUGAAUGCAGUGUGUGUGUUUUAGUUUUAGUGUGUGUAUGGUGUAUUCAGUGUGUGUUUGUGUUGUGGUUUUAGUGUGUGUAUGGUGAAUGCAGUGUGUUUGUGUUGUGGUUUUAGUGUGUGUAUUGUCUAUGCAGUGUGUGUUUGUGUUGUGGUUUUAGUGUGUAUAUGGUGAAUGCAGUGUGUGUUUGUGUUGUGGUUUUAGUGUGUGUAAAAUAUGGGGCUGCAUAGGGGGGGGGAGCCUUUUUGUAUAUGACCCACAUUUAUUUGACACACUAUUUUAUUCCCCCCUCCCUGCUUCUUACCUGACUAGGGAGGGGGUAGAUUGCAUCUCUGGUGGUCUGGUGGAGGGAGCCAGCCGCUGUAUAAUGCAGACGGGGGCCAGCCAGCACCUGUGCCUGUUUGCCGCGCGGAGCAUUGCCAUGGUAACCCGUGACAACACUCUGCCGGCCGCAGAGCUCACGAGACUUACAGGCACAGGAGCUGCUGGAGAGUUAAGAUGGUGCUGGCUGGCCCCCGUCUGCAUUGUACAGGUAGCCGGGGCCCAAGGUGAACAUAUAGAUUGUGAUAAUCGCUAUCUAUAUGUGCACAUAUAAAAUGUGGGGCCUGGGACUCCCAGAGCAGUCAGGGCCCCCCAGGACCGCCAAGCCCAUGACAACCGUUAUGGUUGUCAUGCCCUGAUGGCGGCCCUGGCUCCAACUGCGGGUUAAUUUGAAGCCAGUUAAACAGAUAGCAGUGGUUCCAAAAUGCAGUCAAGUACUGAAACAACAGUAUGGUUACACUGAGCACCUUUUGCAUCGAUUCAACCUACAGAAUGUAAUUAUUGUAAAUGUAAUGUUUAAAUGUAGGACUACUUAACAUGGACCUAAAUGCUUGCCUCCUGUACUAAAUGAUGGGGUGCACAUUAGAUGACAUUCUCAAAAAAAAGAAAUUUUUUUUAAAAGUUUUCAAAACUCAAAGCUAGUUUUACAGAACAUUAACCCUUACAUAUCUGAAAACAAUAUAUUUCAAUUAAUUGAGUCUGAAAUAUUAAGAAAAAUAUUGGGGAGCUGAACCCUUGGGAAAAAUCAAAAUAUCGUCAGCAGGAAAAUUAAAGCUUGCCGGGGAAAUCAGACUUAUUGGUUUGGAUCCCUUUGUCAGCAUAAGCCUUUCAUUUACACCUUAGUAUAAGCCUUGACAGCUCUGGGCUAGCUGUCAGAUCAAAUGUAUCAAAAGUACAAUUUCCAGCCAAGUGAACAGAAAAAAAUAUAUAUAUCACACCUUACCUAAAAUGUCAAUUACAAAAGAUCAAAGGCAUUUUAAGAAUUAGUGCUCUAAAAAAAACUCCCAUUGGAAAGAAAUGCCGUCAGAAAGAAAGAUGUCUUGUGGUGAAUAUUAGGUGACCUACUGCUUGGAGAAAAGUCUCAAAAAAAGGAUCACACGAUGUGCGUUACUAACUGGGACAAAGGUUAUAGUAUCAGGUGGUAGUCAUCAAGACAAGCAACAGUCAGACAUCAAUCACAGAUUAUUCAGGAGGUUUAAAGGACUUUGUUUACAGAAUGACUGUCUGAUGGGCUGCGAUAGAAGAUAUUGAUGACCUAAAUGUCAAAAAUAUUGUAAGCAAUCAAAAAAAAAAAAAAAAUGUCCUUAGCUUAAUUGAAGGCCAACAAACAAACUUAUAAUACUAUGUUAUUGUUGAUAUUAUCCACCAUUUGUCACGUCUGUAUUGUGGUGUGUGCCAAUAGACUGGAUAAACUGGAUAGACUGACAGACUGGAUAAACUUUGUCAGGGUUCUAGCAAAAGCUCAUCAGCAAUACAGGUCUUUCAUAGACCUACACAAGUCUACUCAUAACUACCUCCUAUAGGUGGAGGAUGUCGGCAAGGGGUACGCCAUCGUUCGACACAUAGCAACAGUAUAUAUGUUGUCUUGAGUCAUCAAGGGUAUAAUUGUAACAAGCACAAUUAUAUUUGUCUCCCCUACAAUUAGAUACUACACGUCCUGCUCACCUCUUGUUAGGUAUAUUGUUUGACUAUAAUGGGUUUCCAGUUCUUGGUGGUCUAAAUGGAUCAGGAGAAAAACACAGAGCGCUCACUAUGGGUCUCUAUGCAUUGUGCAAAACCGUAAAUGAACCCAAGUCACAACAGAUUCCAGUAGAGCUUUUACUGUAACGAUAUAUGCGUAUAUUGUCUUUUGUCCCUUAUAUAGGAGCUGCUCCUGGAUCAUGAACAUUUUAUGUGCAAAUUCUGGUGUGCCUUGGGUUCAUUUACUGUUUUGUAUGUAUAUCCGGUGGGGAACGGAUUAUUUUCACUCAGUACCCUUUAAUACCAUAUCACUAGAUCACCCAUUCCAGUAGAGCUUUUCCUGUAACUAUAUAGGCGAAUAGACUCUACGCAUUGUGCAUAGUGUGACACAGAGCAAGGGCAGGAAUAUUUAUAUAAUGUAUUAUAUUAUUUAUAUAUAUUAUAUUUAUACAAUAUUAUUCCAUAUCUUCAUAUAACAGCAUUGACUAUUAGUACAGAGAUGUUAGAUUUUCAUAGGGGAAAUUGAUGGAACAUUUUGCUCCAAUGGGUGUAAAGGUCCCGUGUCCACCCAGAACUAGUAUAGCAGGUAGAGGGUAUUGAAGGGGGUCCAGCACUACCAGAACGAUGUAUCUCAUAGCUGUGACUGUCACUCUGCACUCACUAUUGUUAUUCCAGACUAUAUCCACAAUGACUAACAUUAAGAACUCUAGCUGCUGGUUUAACAGGAGAUCUGAUGUGUCGUACCAUUGCCAAUUGCUGUAUUAUUUUGUCAAUUGCCAAAUUCAUUACUAAAUUCUAAAGUGCAACAUGCAAUCUGGUGCUGGAGUGAAAGGUUUGAAUGUAGUCUAAGACUUUUUCAGGUGUGAAUUAAUCGGUAUUAAGACAGCCAUUCGAAUAUUUCAAUUCUCUAUUUUGAUGUGUGUCCUUUUUUUUGGGGGGGGGGUGAGAGGCAAGCGGGAGGGGGGUUACAAUAAAAUAAACUAAAUUGAGCAGAAAUAGCAGCAAGUGUUUCACUCGAUAUUGGUGCUCACUCUUCUCUGCGUCUGUUUGGUAAAGCCAGCUGAAACAUACUACGAGGAAUACGAGUAUGGUGUGGCAAGUAAAGUGUUGCCAAAUGGCCAAAAACAUAGCAACUGUACUUUCCUAGCAUUGGAAUAUAGGAAUUUUGCACCUAUUUUAUAUCCUUUUAUAGAACAAAUCUUUAACACAAAGAUGUGCGCUUGUUCUCUUUUAGAUAACUGUUGAAGAGUCCCUUCCAUCUCAUCCCUUGAUCCAAAGAUCAUGGCUAUAUAUUAAAUAGAAUGAGAAAUUCACUCACUUACAAACUGCAAUUUGUCAGAAUUUGGGCUGAUCAGGUGAUCGUUUGAAUUCUAGAACUCCGAGCUGAAAUGUAGCCAAAUCUAAAACCACACAAAACGCACAACGGCCGAGCAUGUUGUUUUGAUUCAGGAUUCUAAAUCAAAAGAUAUGAUUGAUAGUGAAAAUGAUGAUGGAUAGCGGGGUUAAUUACUAAAGUGAGAAUUGGCAGGAAAUUUAAGGGAAUUUCAAAUUUAAGGCCAAAAUAAGCGAAGGGGAAGCACAGCUAACUUUCCAGUUGAGCAAUUUUAGAUUUAAGUUUGAAAUUCUUUUUGAAUUCCCAAUAAUCUCACUUUAGAAAUGAGCGAAAUAGCGGAAAAAAAUGAAAAGCAGUUAAAAAAAAUCUACAUUUAUACAUUAAAUAUUAUAUUAUAGAUUUUCUUUAAUGGUUCUCCAGUGUUUCCCUUUACUGCUUACUUCUGCUCACUCGUAAAUGGCAUGAACAUGCUCCUAUCAGUGUACUGCAAAAUAAAUACAUAAUAUUUAUAUUAAACAGACAUAUGGCUGGAAAAAACAAACAAUAAAACAACUUCAAAAAUAUGGUUCGGCCCAAAACAAAUGUCCUCGGCGUGCACAAGUCUAAUAUUGAACACUGUAUCUGACACUCCACUAAAUCAAGGUUAAUAAGAAUUAUGGGUUAUUUUCUGACUCAUUAUCAGCCUGUGCAUUUUAGCUAUUGAACUGUUGUUAAAAGCAGCAAUUUUACCAGCCGCUAGUAAAGAAUAGAAUCUUUAACCUGACGACCUUGAUGUGAGUCUUCCUCUCUGUAAUUAUUGCAUCACAAAUGACAUCCUGUAAUUGGGACCAACGUCAUGUAAAUGAAUUGUGGAUAUGAUUCAUGAGGUAAUAAUAUCACAAAAUGCGUUUUCCUGCUCAUUUAAGAUUAGAGGAGAUUAACUUGUACAUUACUAGUUACGAUCAUCAUGAUCGUAAAAACGCUGAAUUUUUAAUGGAAACUCUAUUUCAGUAGACGGUUUUAGAAUAGUAAUGGUAUGUAAAUGAAUAAAAAAGAUAAUUUUAAAAAAAGAGACAAUAUUUCUUUUAAUUUUACGUAAUCUAAGAUCUAUCAGAAAAUUGGACAGUAAGAAUCAAGGUGUAUUGAGAUACAAAGGGUUUUAAACUUAAACUUUGCUCCCCAUUAUGUCUCAAGCCUGGGAUUUUAAGUAUUUAUUAUUUCUCUGGAAAACACGACUGAAUAAAACUGUUAAAAUCACCUACAACUUAUUUUAACCUUUUUCAUGAGAUGCUCUGUACUAUUUUAUGUUUAUAUUAUAAAAUGCAGUAAAUUACAUCACAAUCCAGUACAUUCAAGGCACAGACAGGGCAUAGCAUGCAAAUAAGGAAGAGAAAUGCCAGCAUUGUUUCAUUUGGCCUUUUCUCUGUAUACAUCCUCUAAGAGGACUGUCAACUUCCAUGGACAGAGGUUAUAACAAUGAUUUACAUGAAGCUCAGAUGGAGAUGCUGGACAGUCACCGAGUAGAUGGUCUCAUUACAUAACAAAAAUUAUUGUCCCCUACACCUCUUAAAAAUUUUUUUUUCAAAAUCCUGUGUCUUUGUUCACACUAACUGCCUAUUUCUCCGGGACAUAUUCUCGGUAAUUAGAAGCAUCACGGCUAUUUCGUUGUUAUACCUUUAGACCAUUAUCAUAGCCCUUUCUUUUUGGGUUUUGAUUUGACUUUAAUAUUACAGUCUAUCGUGUUAUUCAUUAAAUCUGUGUACUACCCCCCUAUGUUAACGGGGGAUACAUUUACUUGUGAAUUGGUAUCUCUCUCUACACAAGGGUAUUUUAAUAGUGGCUUGAUCUCUCAGUUCAACUUCCAGGGAACACUAUUUUAUUACCAUACUUUCGCCACAUAUACCCAUUUUUCUAACACUAAGUCCAUUAUAUCCCCUCUUAAUCCCUCGGAUCAUUUACACAGACUGUCUACAUUUUUUGCAACAAUUUGCAACUUAUUAUUUAGAUACAGUCAUUUAUUUUGAUCAUUAUUUUGGAUUAGUUACUAUGAGAUAUUGCAUGGUCCUAUUUUACUAUGUUUGUUAUUUAUUUUCUUCGUGUUGUUCCUUAUGAGGGACUAAUAAAGAGUAUAUUGUUCUACCUCUCUAUUUAGGCACUGUCCAUAUAUUUGCAGAGCAGCUUAUCAGUAAAGGAUACAAGGUCUAAUAGGGGGGCAGAUCUUUUUAAUCUUCUACCCUUUAGUCCUUCUCUCUUUCCUUAAUGUCACAUUACUUUAAGAAAUGUCUGCUUAGAAAUCCAAAAAUCACAUUCUUGCCAGUGAGCAAGAUUUUGCAAAAAUCCAGAAAACGUUCUACAUCUCUACAAAGAAAAAUAUAUAUAUAUAUUUCUGUCUAAAGCACACCAAUAUACAGUUCAAAAGAAAUUGUUGCUAGGUAAUCCAGAGUACCACAUUUAAAAAUCAUAAUAUAAAUUAGGUUUCCUUUUUUUUUUAAAGAACAUAUAAACAAACAUUUUGCAAAAAGUUUUGGCUACAGUACUGCUCGAUUAAACAAAGAUUUGUUUCCAGCCUCUAAUAAAGGUAUCCUAAAAUGUUAAAGGACCACUAUAGGCACCCAGACCACUUCAGCUCAAUGCAGUGGUCUGGGUGCCAUGUGCCACUAGUGUUAACCCUGCAGCUGUAAACAUAGUUUCAGAGAACCUGCGAUGUUUCACUGAGGGUUAAUCCAGCCUCUAGUGGUUGUCUCACUGGCAGUCGCUAGAGAUGCUUCUGCGAUUCUCACUGUGAAAAUCACAGUGAGAAGACGCUGACGUGCAUAGGAAAGCAUUUCUCAAUGGGCGGUUUGAAUGCGCGCACGGCUCUUGCUGCGCAUGCGCAUUCGGCACUGACGUUGGCUGAGGGAGGAGCGUUCCACAGCGCCUAGGGAGCCCGGCGCUGGAGAAAGGUAAGUGAUUUAACCCCUUCAGCUCAGCUGGAGUGGGACCCUGAGGAGGUGAGGGGGACAUAAAGACCCCAUAGUGCCAGGAAAACCAGUUUGUUUUCCAGGCACUAUAGUGGUCCUUUAAAGAAUAUUUGUAGAUUAAAUGGAUGUAGUUACAGUUUUAUUCAAUUUCAACUUUUAGGCCACAAUAGCCAAAAUUAAAACAUGACGAACUCAGGAUUUUUCCAGUUCGGUUAUUUCAGCCUAAAAUGUUAAUUCACUUUGGAUUCUCAACAACAAUUUAAAUUUUUAUAUUUGGAUUUUAUAUUCCAAAGAACUUUAUAUCACGACAUAAUGACAUUCCAUGAUGUAUACCAACACCUAGCAAAGCAUCGAAGACUUCUACAUGCUGAAUAUUAAAAUACUCUGUCCACGGUGCUGAACAAACCUGUAGUGCUAUUUAUUGAACUUAGAGAUUUGUUUUGGGCCAUAAUGCAAUUUAACCGAAUUCCCAAACUCUGAGCCAAGAUGUACAUCAAUCACAGACCAGCUGAAGCACACAAUGCCGAAUGUGUUAGGUUUUAAUAUUAUACUUUGUUUUUCUGAUCCUCUUGUUUUCCUCUCUAUUCGUUACUUUUACUUGGUUGAUCUGUAAACCAAAUGACAUGAAAUGUUUAUUUUGGUGCACUGCAAAAUAGAUGCAUAUUAUGUAGAUAUUUUGCAGCACACUGAUCGGCCCAUUUCUUUUGUCCUUCCGAAUUGGUAUCUCGUUUUCAAACUUCUUUCAAGCCGUCAUUCAGGCAAUAUUUGGGUGUCACGAAUAAUUCCUUAUUUUCAGAAAAGUGGUUCGGUUAAGUGGAAUUUUCCUGCAAUGCACAACUCUGCUAUUUAUUGGUAUUACUGAAACCAUUAUAUUUUACAUAAUAUAUGUAUAUAUUUUUCAAGUAACAAAAGGUAUAUGCUUUAAAAGGCUGAUGAUGAUCUUUGCCAUCAUAUGGCUACAUGCCAAAAAAUAUGCAAGGGAAGGGUUAAAUGUCACCGUUUGCUAACACUUUUAGUAAAAAAUUCUGUAUGCAUGUAUGAGUCACAGUGACUUCAUUUACCCCCAUUGGGAAUACUGACAGAAAAACACAAAGGGUACAAAAGCUUGUGAAAAAAACCCCGUAAAAUAAAGGCACAGCACUGGUGAUUUAAUUUAAUUUUUCUAGGUUUUUUCAAUUUUAAUUCUAAUAGAAAAUAUUGACACUUCCAUCUAUCAGAUAAUUAGAUUACAUCAUGAGAUCUGAUUAGAGGAUUUAUCAAGGACAAAGCAUAUAUUGUAAGACUGAUGUAAUUUGUGAACACAUUAAUAAUAUACAGGUCUAUUACUCUAGCAUUACUUCAUCUAAUUGUGAAUGUAUCCCAAUAUGGUGAAUACAAGAUCCUAUUUACUCAACUCAAUUUAAUUUAAUCUACUCUAGACUUAGGUACAACAAGAAGAUUCUGCUCGGUUGAACAAUUCUUUCAGAAAAAAAAAAAAGGAUAUUUUUCAGGACACCCAGAAUUCCGCUAAAUAUUUGAUCGGCUCAGCAGAAUUUCGGAACCGAGAUUUAGAUUUGGGAAACGAAUCAGAAGAACAAACAAGAGACAUAUAUAAGAAAAUAAGACUGCUGAAAAAUAUAUACAUAAUAUGAUAAUAUGUAUAUUGUUUGCAGUACACUUAUAGGAGUGUUUUCCCAAUAUAUUUGGUUCAUAGAUGUAAGGUAGAGAAGUAAUAAUGGUCACAUCUCAAGUUAGGACCUUUUGUUACAAUUAUGAGACCUAAACGUUAUAGUAUACCAUUUUAAACAGUUCAGUGUUUCCAAACGUGUGACAGCAGUUCCGGAAAAGGUCCUUUAAUGAGCAAAUGGUUCGUUCUUGUGGUAUAUUAAUGCUAUGAAUGUCCUGUUUAUUCUUACUGUCAAAUGUAACUGUGUUUGAAUUGCCUCAAUGAAAACCAUUUCAAAUAAAAUGAGGAUGCAUUUGGAAUUUGAUAUUCUAUAAGCAGAAAUCAAAAUAUUUUAGGCCAUGUAAUGGAUAACAUCUACAACAUGAUGUAUAUGUAGAUGCAUGUCUGGAUGUACACUAUUUCAGCUGUAUAAAGUAAAGACAAAUAAGUUGAUGGGGCCUGAUGGGAUACACCCAAAUUUAUUAAAAGAACUUAGUGCUGUACUAGCAAAACCAUUAGCUGAUUUAUUUAAAGGGACACUAUAGUCACCACCACCACUACAGCUUAAUGUAGUUGUUCUGGUGAGUAUAAUAUCUCCCUUCAGGCUUUUUUCACACAAACACUGCCUUUUCAGAGAAAAUACAGUGUUUACAUUGCCCCUAGGGACACCUCCAAGUUGCCACUUGUCAGAUGGCCAGUGGAUAUGCUUUCUAGGGCAUCAUUGCCACGUAGCGUCUCCACGCUCUGCAUGGGGAGGUUGAAUUUUCCUCAUAGAGAUGCAUUGAUUCAAGUCAUCUCUAUGAAGAAGUGCUGAUUGGCCAAAACAGUGUUUGGCCCCACCCCCAUCCUGCCUCCUUGCCGAUUUUAGCCCUACGGGAAAGCAUUGGAUUGGCUAAAAAUCGGCAAUGGAAAUAAGGUGAGUUUUAAUUCCUUGUAAGGGGGUCGAGGGGGGGCAAGCUAUAGGGUCAGGAAUACAUGUUUGUGUUCCUGACCCUAUAGUGUUCCUUUAAUCAAUCAUUGUUAACGGGAGUAGUCCUGAAUGAUUGGAAAUUAGCAAAUGUUGUACCCAUUCACAAGAAAGGUAAUAGGGAGGAGUCGAGCAACUAUAGGCCAGUAAGCCUUACUUCAGUAGUGGGGAAAGUGACGGAAACCAUGUUAAAGGAUAGGAUUGUUGAACAUCUAAAAACACAUGGAUUCCAAGAUCAGAGACAACAUGGGUUUACUUCAGGGAGAUCAUGCCAAACUAAUCUUAUUGAUUUUUUUUGAUUGGGUAACUAAAAUAAUAGAUCAGGGUGGUGCAGUAGACUUUGCUUACCUAGAUUUCAGUAAGGCUUUUGACACUGUUCCACAUAGAAGGCUUAUCAAUAAAUUGCAAACUUUAAGUUUGGAUUCCAAUAUUGUUGAAUGGAUAAGGCAGUGGCGGAGUGACAGGCAACAGAGGGUUGUAGUCAAUGGAGUAUAUUCGAAGCAUGGUCUUACCAGUGGAUCUGUACUUGGACCCAUGCUCUUCUAUAUUUUUUAAUGAUAUUGCAGAAGGCCUUGAUCGUAAGGUAUGUCUUUUUGCUGAUGAUACUAAGAUAUGUAACAGGGUUGAUGUUCCAGGAGGAUAAGCCAAAUGGCAAAUGACUUAGGUAAACUAGAAAAAUGGUCAGAGUUGUGGCAACUGACAUUUAACGUGUAUAAGUGCAAGAUAUUGGGCGUAAAAACCCCAAAGGCAGAGUACAGAAUAUUUGAUAGAGUCCUAACCUCAACAUCUGAGGAAAGGGAUUUACGGGUGAUUAUUUCUGAUGACUUAAAGGUAGGCAGACAAUGUAAUAGAGCAGCAGGAAAUGCCAGCAGAAUGCUUGGUUGUAUAGGGAGAGGUAUUAGCAGUAGGGAGAGGUAUUAGCAGUAGAAGUAUUAUUUUACUGAGAGGGUAGUGGAUGCAUGGUAUAGCCUUCCAGCUGAAGUGGUAGAAGUUAACACAGUGAGGGAGUUUAAGCAUGUGUGGAAUAGGCAUAAGGCUAUCCUAGAGAACAAUGCAUGUAUUAAGAAAGUUGGGCAAACUAGAUGGGCCGAAUGGCUCUUAUCUGCCGUCACAUUCUAUGUUUCAAUGUUUCUAUAUCAGUUACAACAUUAAAACCACUGGCAUGUGAAGUGAAUAACAUUGAUUAUAUCAUUACAAUGGCACCUGUCAAGGGGUGGAAUAUUUUAGGCAGCAAGUGAACUGUCAGUUCUUGCAUUUCAUGUGUCGGAAGCAGAAGAAAUGGGCAAAUGAAAAUGUCUGAGUGACUUUGACAAGGGCCAAAUAGUGAUGGCUUGAUGACUGGGUCAGAGCAUCUCCAAAAUUGCAAAUCUGGUGGGGUGUUCGUGGUAUGCAGUGGUUAGUACCUAUCGAAAAAGAGGGGCAAGGAAGGUCAACAAUAGCUGCAUAGCCACAGACAAAGUGUCCACCACCAAAAGUGUCUUCAAUGGGGACGUGAGCAUCAGAUCUGGACCAUAGAGGAAUGGAAGAUGGUUGCUUGGUCUGAUGAAUCACAUUUUUAUUCAGAUCAAGUGGAUGGCCAGGUGCGUGAGCUUCAUUUAUCUGGGGAAAAGAUGACAGCAGGAUGUACUAUGGGAAGAAUGCAGGCCAGUGGAGGCAGUGUUAUGCUCUGGGCAAUGUUCUGCUGGAAAACCGAGGGUCUUGGCAUUCAUGUAGAUGUUAAUUUGACAUGCACCACCUACCUAGAGAUUGUUGCAGAUCACAUGCACCCCUUCAUGUCAGUGGUGUUCCCUGAUGGCAGUGGCCUCUUUCAGCAGGAUAAUGAACCCUUUCAAAUUGCAGAAAUUGUUCAGGAAUGGUUUCAGGAACUAGACAAAGCAUUCAAGGUGUUCUCUUGGCCUCCAAAUUUCCCAGAUCUCAAUUUGAUUGAGCAUCUGUGGGAUGUGCUGGAACAACAAAACUGAUCCAUGAAGGCCCCACCUCGCUACUUGCAGGACUUAAAAGAUCUGUUGCUAAUAUCUUGGUGCCUGAGACCACAGGACAUGUUCAGAGGUCUCGUGGAGUCCAUGCAUCAGAGCUGUUUUGGAAGCAUGAUGGGAACGUACAUAAAAUUAGCCAAGUGGCUUUCAUGUUGUGGCUGAUCAGAGUAUGUCCAUUGCUCAGCAUUCAGGUCUGUCUUGUAUAGAAAGGUGCUCAAAAAUUAGAAAAUAAUAAAUGCACAGCGAAAAAACCAGUUCUGUGACCGCAUUCUAACAUGAUGGACCUUUCGGAAAGUAUAAAUGUAGAAAGAUCUCCAAGUAAAUUAUUCUAUACAGAAAGGAUACCCAAUGUUGGCACUUCAUACAUUUCUGGACUUUGUCUCCAUAAUGCUCAGUCAGCUAUUGGAGAUGGGGUCUACAAACAUCUGUAGUCACAAGGCUAACAGUCUUUUCACUAAUGAAAAUUAGAAUGUUAAUAUUGAUCUGCUUACACUUAACAGAAUAUUUACAUCUAAAUUACUGUCAUAUCAGCCUAUCGAUAUAAUAACUGUUCUUCCUAGUAAACCAACUGAUAGAAACUUUAUAAACUUGAAAGCUCGACUGUUGUAAACAGAGUAUAUAUCAGCUUAGUGGACAAGCAGUACCACACAGCAACUCAUUUUAUUUGCAUCGAUUGCACAGUGAAAUUUAAUUCUCUUGUGCAAGUAGAAUCGUUAAGGCUGGGACAUUGUGCUGGGAAAUAAUUUAAAGAAUUUGAAUACCAAUGAAUGAGCUAACACAAUAAAAUAUUACUUCUUCAAAUACAGGAAACUAGAGGCCUUUAAACCAUUUCAACAAAAUAAAUGGUAAAUUGUACUCUAUACAAAAUCCGUUUUAAUGAAAUGAAUUGAUUCCCAAUUUAACACAUUUUACUGAAAGCUCGACUCCUACCUUUUUAUUCCAUAACCUCCCUUCAAAAAAAACCCCCCAACCUUACAACCUUUGUGUAAUCUGUGCGGUACAGUUCUAGAAAUGCCUAUAUAAUCUGUGUCAAACAAACAAUGUUGCAUUAUACACUGAAAGAGAUUUAUCAGAAGCACAUUGUAAUUUCUUCCGAACACAAUUGCGUUAUGUCUCUAUUCAGAAGGUACAGUUUCAGUGAAACACAUUUAUUUGUCAUGAGGGGAAGAAAAUGAGAAUACAAAAGAAAAAUUGUAACUGUAACGGCAUAUGCAAAUUUCACUAUCAAGCUGUGAAUGUCUUUACAAUGAGUUUUUUUUUUUUUUUUUCAAACACCGUUCUAUAGUUUGUCUAUAUAAUAUUAACGUGACACGCGGGAUUAAGAUUAGGGGCAGCAAGAGUGCUUAGCUACCAUUUAGAGGUCAUUAUGGGUCACAGAGUGCCGGGGUGGAUAUACUGUAAUGUAGUCCUCUGAUUUAUUUACAAUUAAUUUAAAAAAAGAGUGAAAUAAACGUAGAUUCAAACAUCCGAGAGCUCCGAGUUGAUUUAUGAAAUGUAAAAUUAUAUAUAUUUUUUUAUUAAAUAUUAAGGUUUCAGUUAAGACGGUUAGUCUGUUUUUUCAUUUUGUUCUUAAUUUUACAUGAUAAAUAUACAAGCAAGUUCUAUCUAUUUAAGUAGCUAUUGUAUACAUUUAGUUGUGUUUACAGAAGUGUAUAAUGUUAGCGUUACACUUCAGCAAUUGGUACAGGAGCAGAGGAAAUGUAGCCAAGCCAUCAGAGAGACCAACAGCUGUAUUCAUCCAUUUGAUCCUUAUCUAGAACUACUAGACUUGUGCAUUCGGUUUUAGGCGAUUUGCAAUUUAUCAGAAUUUUGGUUAAGGGCAAUUCGUCCCAUUUCCCAAAUUACAAAAUGCUAUACGGACAAAUCAUGACACGGACAAUCGACAAGCUGUUUGUUUUGUUAUUUAGAUCUAUAUAUGGUCAGAGCUGUGGCAACUGAAAUAUAUAUACACUUAAAAUUAUAAACGCAACAUUUUUGUUUUUGAUGUGCUGAACUCACCUGUGCAAUAAUCCUGCUGUCUAAUCAGCAUCUUGAUAUGCCACACCUGUGAGGUGGAUGGAUUAUCUUGCCAAAGUAGAAGUGCUCACUAACACAGAUUUAGACAGAUUUGUGAACAAUAUUUGAGAGAAAUAGGCCUUUUGUGUACAUAGAAAAAGUCUUAAAUCUUUGAGUUCAGCUCAUGAAAAAUGGGGGCAAAAACAAAAGUCUUGCAUUUAUAAUUUUGUUCAGUGUAAAUAUAUAUAUUUCAUUUUCCUUUGUAUUUACCAGUUAUCUGACUGUAAAGUGGUAGGGUUACACUACUACGUGAAAUUUUAAUAAUUUGAUUAGAAAUGUUAUAUAUUUUGUCCAAACAUAAAGGGAAUUAUCUUUCUAGAACUCCUGAGACCCAACGUAACAAUUCUUGAGUAAAGGAUAAUUGAGGAUUGACAUAGUAUAGAAACCCACAUACAGCCCCCAGAGAAGCAUUUUUUCUUUAACCCCUUAAGGAAACAUGACAUGUGUGACAGCAUGAUGGGUUCCCUUUUAUUUCUGAGGUUUGGUCCUUAAGGGGUUAAAGAGACUAACCUUCACAUAAUGAUGUGAACUUUGACUUGCUGUACAGUCCAGCCUCCAGGGAAGGUUUUUUGUUGAACGAAGUUUUAGAAGUGAUUUGAUUUUGUGAUAUAAUAAAAGGCACUAUUUAACCUUCUGACAGUUGACAAGGAAUUGUCAUGAAGUGAAAUGCAGUAUUACAGCUUCCGGGAAUAGAACAUAACAUGACAGUAAGUGAACACUGAGGAAUUUAUUCACUAAGCAAAAAAUUGUGGUGAAUUGAAAGCCAAACUAAAAAGUUUUGCCUACAAUAGUCGAGUUGUGGCUACAGCCAAGAUAAUUCUUUUAGAUCAAAUUUUGUAAUUAUGUUUUCAACUUACCACCAUUCUAUAUUUACAGAAUAACACCCAUAGUUAGGGCCGUCUUUCACCAUGGGCACGCUGGGCAUGAAAAGAUCUCCCACACCAGCUCAUGUCCCUUUGUUAGAGAGGAGAGAGAGGGGGGAGGACCGGAGACAAAAGGAGGGACCUGGGAGGAGAUAGCUCCUCCCGAAAACAGGCUGUGUGCAGCAUUGCCGUGCGUUGCCAUGGCAAUGCUCCACACAACACUCAGCUUGGGAGGAGUGAAGAUAGCCUGCAGCCAGAGGAACCACCGGACCACCAUGGCUGGCAGUGUCCCCCCCUUCCUUCAUCAACGGUAAGAAGAAAGGUUGGGGGGGGGGGCAUAAAGAUUUUAUUAAUAAUGCACAUUUAUUAUUUAAAAUAAUCAAACAAACAAGAAAACCUUUGCUCCAUGCACCCCUCACACUCUGCAACACACACACACCACUCACCCCUAACAUACAGCACCUCUCUCACACACAGCACCCCUCUCUCACACACACACACAGCACCCCUCUCUCACACACACACACAGCACCCCUCUCUCACACACACAGCAACCCAUCUCUCACACACAGCACCCCUCACACACACACAGCACAUUUCACACAUACAGCACCUCUCACACACACACACACACAGCACCUCUCACACAGCACCCCUCCACACACAUACACUGCAGUCUGUGUGUAUUCAGCAGUCUGUGUGUAUGCAUUGUAUGUAUCCAUUUCAUUUGUUGGAGGUACCAAUAAAAUUAAAUAUAAGCUUAAUUUUAUCAAUAAUUUACGUUUUAAUUCCUGUUAGAUGGUACUGCCCAUAGUCUGCUCUUCUGAUACCAAGAGAGACUUUCUGAUGCCCUAAUGCCAAACAAAUCACAAAUGGAAUGUUCUACCAGGUAACUCAAAAACUCCACUUCAUAUUGAUAUGAAGAACUCAUCUUGGUAUGGUGAUAUAAAACAAAUCAGGAGAGCUUUGGGGUUUGUUUCUUUCACAGUUUAUUUGCUGUGCUUAGAUAAUAAUAGCUUAGAAGAAAUGUAAUAUAAUACAGCAGUUUAUAGGUUCCCCCCCCAUGUGUGAUGGUACUUGAUAUAAACAACAGAAGUGGCUUGUGGGGCCCAUAGGGGCUAAAUUGUCAUAAUUUCUGUUAUAUCACUUUUUCGAUUAUCCUCUCUAAACACUUAUAUGUCUUUCAUUCUUUCCAGAUAUGUGUUGAGAUGAAAACAUAAGCUGUUAUCUUACACUUUAAAUAGAUUUCUGUUUUAUGGUAUCGUCAAGGUAAAAUGGUUUAUUAGCAAUUGUAUUCUUAUUAACAUCUAGUUCUGGCUAAUAGCUCUCAUCAGACACAUUGUAUUUUAUUUUCUCUGCUGGUUUUCUACAUAUACAAAUUCUACAUUUUAGCCAUAUUGGAAAAAUAGAGAAAAAAAAAACAUUUAAAAAAUAACACUAAUAUUAAAAAUAGAUUUUGAUUUGUUCAUUGUUAGUGUUGCGGAGGUUUAGAUUGUGUUCCCCUCCACCCUCUGUAAAAUAAAAAUGAAAUAAACUGUUAUUUCUAAUUACUGGUAAGUCAGGACCAGGCAGUCGCUCAUCCUCUCCUCUAUGUGGUUGAUCUCUGGCCAAAUGAGAUGCUUCUCACAGAGAAGCACUGUGAACCUACUAGGCAUGCGUGGCAGUCACCACACUCUGCUAAUUAGAUGCUUUUUAUAUAUAGAAGCUAUUAAUCCAAUGCUUUUCAAUAAGCAGCAUUCAAAACAUUUGGUGGCGCUGAACAUCUGCUAUCUGGCUGACAUUCUGAUUAACCAGCACUAGAGGCAUGCUUACUGACAAAUCUAAACAUUGCCAUAUCUUAUAAACAAUUAUAUUAACUAUUGCCGUAGUGUGGGGACCGGAUCUUCACACCAAAAGCACAACAAUAAAAACACAAAAAUUCUAAAAUACUCUGCUCAAACACUCGCUCUUUCAAUGUAGCAGAAAUCACAGUUCUGGUUAAAAAAACAAAAGCCUAGGUACAGUCACUAGACAUGGAGAAUAAUCAAGUCAAAUUCAAGAUCCUGAUAACAAAAAGGUUAACAGUAACCAUGAACGAGCAAUGACUUGGCAAUCAUUAUAAGUUUGUAUAGGGCCAAAUUGAACUAAACGUCAAUUAAACUGAGCCACAAGAUUAAAGUGCAUUUGUUUGGCUCCCUUUUGUUGAGCCAAAUUGAUGUAGGUAAGGUUUUUCAGAAGGAAAGCAUCAUUGGAGUAAACUGCAUGGGAUACACUGCCCCUAGUGGCUGUAGAGGCCAUAGAAAAAUCAAUGUGGGACACUGCUGGCCUAUGAAAGGUCCAGCAGGUCAGUGGAUCUUACAAACAGGGGCUCAUGAGUCCCCUUAUGUACUGUACUGACAGCCACCUAAUAUAAUGUGUUUUUCACUAUUUAGUACAGCUCAUUUCCCACUUCCUUUUUGCCAGUAAUUGUUUACUGUGUAUUGGGAAAAAUUACAAUCGGAGAAAUGAAGGCUACAAAAUGUCACUGCAUGGACCAAGGACAAAUUAUUGUAUCCCUAUCUGUUACAGCUUAUUAAAAAAAUCACCACAAUGUCGAUCCUUACUCUGCAAGAUAUUGCUGCCUUGUCAAUUUAGAAAGACACUCGUGUCAUACUAGCUAAAGGCUGGUGAUAGGGUUAGGAAUAAGGUUAGUGAUAGGGUAUGUGAUCGGGUAAGUGAUUGGGGAAGUGAUAGGGUAAGUGAUAGGGUUAGGGAUAAGGUUAGUGAUAGGGAUAAGGUUAGUGAUAGGGAUAAGGUUAGUGAUAGGGAUAGGGAUAGGGAUAGGGUUAGUGAUAGGGAUAGGGAUAGGGAUAGGUUUAGUGAUAGGGAUAAGGUUAGAAAUAGGGUUAGGGAUAGGGUAAGUGAUAGGGUUAGUGAUAGGGAUAUGGUUAGUGAUAGGGAUAGGGUUAGAAAUAGGGUUAGGGAUAGGGUAAGUGAUCGGGUAGGUGAUAGGGUUAGGGAUAAGGUUAGUGAGAGGGAUAAGGUUAGUGAUAGGGAUAGGGUUAGUGAUAGGGAUAAGGUUAGUGAUAGGGAUAAGGUUAGUUAUAGGGAUAGGGUUAGUGAUAGGGAUAGGGUUAGAAAUAGGGUUAGGGAUAGGGUAAGUGAUCGGGUAGGUGAUAGGGUUAGGGAUAAGGUUAGUGAGAGGGAUAAGGUUAGUGAUAGGGAUAGGGAUAGGGAUAGGGUUAGUGAUAGGGAUAGGGUUAGUGAUAGGGAUAGGGAUAGGGAUAGGGUUAGUGAUAGGGAUAGGGUUAGGGAUAGGGCUUAGGGAUGGUUUAGUAACACUGAUGAUGUCCGUGACCUAUGUUAAAAUUAGGAAACUGUUUCUUUGAAUCUAAAAAAAUUUAAUCUGGCAAUACCUCACAAAGUUUAAUUCGCUUGUUAGUACGUUUAUUUGGCAGUUUUGUAGUGCUGCCUUUAAUUUGUGUGUCUCUACAGGUCUAAAGGAUGUAAUGCCAUCCCAUUAAUAAUUGGGCUAAAAGAUGUUUAUCAUCAGGUUCACAGAGAAGAGGGAAAAAAAAUGUAUAAUUGUAUUUAAUAAUUCAGUAAAAUAAAACCAGUUGCUCUGCAGACAUGUUGGACCCUAUUAAAAGCUUGUCUGGACUCUACGACCCUUGGUUGAACGCUACGGGUCUUUAUUAUGACCAGCAAAAUAUCAAAUGUAACACUGAAUUUAAAUGAUCAAAUGUCAGAGGCGCAUGAGAUUUAACAACACAACAGAUUCAACUGCUGCACAGUGCAAAAUACGUCUAACACUUCCUCUACCAUGGAGACCUCAUGUCAUUGGGGGGUGGGGGGGGGAAGGAGUGAUCAGCAGGAAAUUAAAACAACUAAUUACAAUUAGUGAACUAAAAAAAGACGAACAUGCGUCUGCUAUCCAUUGUGUUACUGUACACUGAAUUAUUUCACAGAUCAGGUUUGCAGAACAGGAUAGAAAGAUAAUGUGCUAGUCUAUGCUGUAUAGAAAAAAAAUCUUCAUUCACAGCAGAAAAAGACAGAAGGUCACUGUUGAGUUAUUUAACACAAGACAAAACAGGUUCACAAUGAUAGAAAGGCAAUAUUUAUGCAGAGACAGGGAGAGAUGGUGGUUUGAGGCGCAUACUCUCCAUAUGGGAGCAGAAAUCACAAUGUUUUAAGUAUACUUGCUUGAAUAAUAAAAAAAAUAUAUAUAUUGGUUAGAUAAGCCAAUCUGUUGUUGAAUUCAAGCUAGAUCUUUCAAUAGACAGACAGAGAGACAGACAAGUAGAUAGAUAGUCAUAGACAGAUAGUCAGACAGACAGUGUUCUGGAAUCCUGAAAUCAUACUAUUUUCCCUUAAAGGAACACUAUAGUCACCUAAAUUACUUUAGCUAAAUAAAGCAGUUUUAGUGUAUAGAUCAUUCCCCUUCAAUUUCACUGCUCAAUUCACUGUCAUUUAGGAGUUAAAUCACUUUGUUUCAUGCACCUUGGCUAUGAUUGACAGAGCCUGCAUGAAAAAACAAACUGGUUUCACUUUCAAACAGAUGUAAUUUACCUUAAAUAAUUGUAUCUCAAUCUCUAAAUUAAACUUUAAUCACAUACAGGAGGCUCUUGCAGGGUCUAGCAAGCUAUUAACAUAGCAGGGGAUAAGAAAAUCUUAAUUAAACAGAACUUGCAAUAAAGAAAGCCUAAAUAGGGCUCUCUUUACAGGAAGUGUUUAUGGAAGGCUGUGCAAGUCACAUGCAGGGAGGUGUGACUAGGGUUCAUAAACAAAGGGAUUUAACUCCUAAAUGGUAGAGGAUUGAACAGUGAGGCUGCAGGGGCAUGUUCUAUACACCAAAACUGCUUCAUUAAGCUAAAGUUGUUCAGGUGACUAUAGUGUCCCUUUAACGCAUGCUUUCCUAUUACAUAUCUUUUAUAUCAUGUUUUAUUCAGGGUCAGGGUUCGUGUAAUUGUUUUAAGUAGGUGAUGGUUAAUGUUAGGGCACUGUAAUGGUUAAGGGUUAGUGUUCUGGUCAUGAAGGGGUUUAUUGUUAGAGUUAGGGUAGUGUGGGGGUUAAUAGUAAGUUUUAGGUUAGUGUAGUGGUUAAGGGUUAGUGUAGCUCAGUAUAGAUGUUGAUGCCUGAGGUUAGCGGGAGCUGCAGUACUGCAUGGCAGCAAUUUCUUUGAAAUAGUGGCAGCUAUCGCUAAGGAAAGAAACUCCCAGUAACCUCGGCCAGAUCUGGACAUGCAUGGCCCUGUUCAUUCUGAGAUUAGCUCCUUUGAACUCCAUAUAGACGGUAGUGUUGGGGUCUGGAAGCAUUUAUAACCCAGGUGUCCUUUAGGCUUGUGGUUUAUUAUAAUGUCUCUAAAACCCAGCAUCACUGUUGUGUAUCUAUAUAUAUACACAUAUACUCUCACUAACAGACACACAUUCAUUUACAGACACACACCAACACACUCACAAUUUUUUUUUUUUUUUUUUAAUUCAAUCCACCCAGCCUCCCUACUUUUGGAAGUGCUGGAGUGGAUUCUUCCCUGGGGUUCAUUAGGGUUUCUGCUGGCUGGCUGGGAUGGCAGGCACGUGGGCAGGUGGUAGGACUGGUGGUCAGGCAGGCUCAUAUUGGAGGCGGCGAGGGAGCUCUGAUCUUCCUGUUUAGCUCACUCGCACGCCUCUUAGUGAUGCCGGAGUGAAGUCAUAUUCCGGCUCUGGCAUCACUGUAGAGGGAGCUGAACAGGGGAGAGCUCAUGGGACAGUGCUCCCUCACGGCCCAGCAACAUCAGCGCAUGCCAGCUUUGGGGGGUCCCUGAGGUGGCCAGCCAGCCAGCUCCUGGGCCCCCGAGGAGAAGAGGCUGGCAAGGCAUUUGCCAGGGCGAUUGGGGGGUGGCUUUUUUGCCGCCCACCUGAAAGUGACACCCAAGGCAAAUGCCUUGUCAGCCUCACGGCAAAUACACCGCUGUGUGUGUCUGUUAGUGUCGGUUAGUGUUUGUGUGUUAGUAAGUGUGUCUGUCACUGAGAGUGUAAAUGUUUUUGUCAUUGAGUGUAUAUGUGUGUUUGUCAGUGUGUGUGUAUCUGCCACUGAGUGUGUUUGUCAGUGUGUGUUUGCAUGUUUCAGCAUGUGUAUCCGUGUCUGUCAGUGUGUGUAUGCGUGUCUGUCACUGAGAGUAUGUGUCUGUCAGUGAAUGUGUAUGUCUGUUCGUGUGUCUGUCAAUUAGUGUAUGUGUGUCUGUCAAUGUGUGUGUUUCUGACACUAAGUGUAUAUAUGUCUGUCAGUGAGUGUUGUAAAUGUGUGUUUGUCAGUGUGUAUUUGUCAGUGAGUAUAUGUGGGUCCCAAUGUGUGUGUCUGACACUAAAUGUGCGUCUGUCAGUGAGUCUGCAUGUGUGCCUUGUCAGUGAAUGUGUAUGUGUCUGUUGGUGAAUGCGUGUCUGUCAGUGAAUGUGACUGAGUAUAACUGUGACUGAGUGAGUGCGUAUGUCUGUGAAUGUGUAUGCUUCAGUGAAAGUGUGUGUUGGUUAAACAGUGUGUCUGACAAUGACUGUGUAACUGUAAGUGAGUGUAUGUCAGUGGAUGCAUCAGUGAGGGCGUGUGUCUGUCAGGAAGAGAAAUUUGGAAGGGAGGUGCCUGAGUUUUGUGCUGCACAAAACCAGAAUACAAAUGUUCUUUACACACAUACAUAGUUCAUUUUUUUUCUAUAGAAUAUGAUCGGAUAUUAAAAUUGUAAUAUUGACUGAAGGCAUUAAAGGAGGUUUAAAGCAGAAGCCUUCUUUUAAAUGUCUCUCUACAGGGCAGUUUAAAAUGUAUUUAAUUCGUUACUAGUGAAAGAGAGCUUCGGCAUAGUGAUAUCCUAAACUUUAUAUGGAUGAUAUUACUGACAGAAUAUUCAGAUUUUGGGCCAAAUAUAUAUAUAUAUAUAUAUAUAUAUAUAUAUAUAUAUUAUAUAGUUUCUUAGGAAUUGCAGUUUAUAUAAUAAUAUGGACAUGCAAUGUGUGUCGAUUUUAUUAUUUACAUUUUGUUUUAUUGUGUUUUAUGCAGACCUUAGUAUAUUAUUAUUAUUUAUAAAGCGACAACAAGUUCCGUAAUUGUAACCAGAUGAGUUGGACGCACAGGAACAGAGGGGUUGAGGGUAGAGGGAGUUGGGUAAAGUGAGGGUAGAGGGAGUGGGGUAAAGUGACCUAAAAGGUAAGGUAAGAAAAAGAUUAAAAAUUUUCAGACUACUUAAUAAAAAAUAAAAAGAAUAUGAAGAACAAGCCCUAUUUUGAGCUCAAGUACCCCCUACAAUAUAUUGUCAUGCCAACAAGGAUUAUGGGAUAUUUUAAACAAUCUAUGGGAUAUUUUAAACAAAACGAUCAGGAAUACCUUUUUUCUUCUUUUUUGUUAUUUUAUUGUUUUUAGUAUAUAAUUACUUUUUAUAUUUUUAUACUAUCACAGAGGGACUUCUUUUCCUCGGUACCACUUGUGAGUGGUGAUAUGCUGCUAUAAUCUUCACUUGAUGUAAGUGCAAUUUGUAUUAAUAAAUCUAUCUUUGUUUGCAAUACUGCUCUAUAUACCUCUUUUUAUUUGAGGAUUGGGUGUUCUGAAUCUACGCCUUUUUGGUCCAUACACACAAGCCCACUGAGAAAGAAUACGCUACUUUAAUACCCUAUGGAAGGGAGACAAGCGCAGAUCUACAGCACGGUCUUGUAAGUUCUCUAUCUACGGGACUGAAUCAUAUAUUCCUGUACAUACUUCACUAUUAUGUGAUUUUUUUCAUGUUUUAGAUUCUUUGAAGAACUGUGUUAUAGUGUAUACAGGUUGUAUGGUUCAUGUUUGUUGUGCCACCCCUUUAGUCUAUACUAGUAUUUGAUACAGUAUAGACUUACCCCUUUGUUUAUAUUGUAUUGGUGUAUGUGAGGUACACUUCUGGGUGUUUUGGCACUGUUUUGUGGUUUUUGCUUGGGAUAUUAUAUAGUGCCUCUUUCUUUUUUCUGUAUAUUUUAAACAAUAUCCCAUAAUAAAAGCAAUAAAAAAAUUAUCAAAUAGCUAUAUAACUGUAUCACUAAUAAUUAAAUGUUUAAUCAGAAAAUGUAACUUACAGCCAUAACAAAAACUGAUGUAUCCUGCAAGUUACGUGUAAGUACCCUGAACAUCAAUCUGUACUUCGCAGUACGUGCAUGGGGGCAUAAUAAUAAUAAUGGUCACAAGGUGUCCAUCUGUUCUGUUUUAGGUACCUCUUAGUAUAAGAGCAAAGUAUACGUGAACACACUUCCAUUCUAUUUGAGUGACAGGAAGUAAUUCAUUAGCAAUGGCCCAUCUGUACACCAUCUACAAUUAUUGCCUUCCCACCCACUCCGAUCUACUCUAAUAUAUACAAUUAAACCCACAGACAGACAUUCUGUCACCUCUUCAUGCAUAGUACGUUGACAUCUUAUCGUAUACUCACCCAUUGACUCCCAUUCCCACACAUCCACACAGACUACUAUCCGUGUACACUAAAACCUCGUAUCAAUGCUGUGAACACAGAGUUACAUGUAUGGACUCAUACAUAUACAUACAUGCAUGCAUUAUGCGCAAAUACAUAAACCUGUUCCUGUUGUCCUAGCAUCAUAAAAUCAUAUUAAAGAAACAGAAAUAGCAAAGGCAAGAAAUAAAAAAACAUACACACACAAAAAAAGGCAGAAAAAGACAAACAAACAAAAAAAAACAAUAUAAAUUUCUUGGCUUCCAGGCAUUGCCCAAAUGAUAAAAUUUAUACUGAAAACCUGUCUGAGCGUCUGUGGAUUCAGAAUGCAAUCCAAGAAUUCUUAACGCUCACUUAGAAACACAGAUAAUCUAAAAGUUAUGUUCCAAAUAAAACGAAAAUCGCAAAUAGAGGUACUUGCAAAGUUCAGAGGAAUACUUAGAAAGUAGAAACAUUUCAAACACAUUUUUCUUUGUACAGCCUGUAAUCCAAUCUCCCCCAUGGCUGCAACGUAUGAUAAGAUGAUAGGAUCAUGUGAUGAUCGAGGUCAGGUCACAUAAUACAAGGAUAUAAAAAACACUGACAGUUAUGUGCAUUCGGUGGCCAAUACACGGAAAAAAAUAUAUACUUUGGAAAUUCAGGUUCUCUAUAAUACUUGGUUGGUCGGGGUCAUUAUGGAUAAUGGACUAAGAAGUUGUUUAUUAAUAGUUCUUCCUAUUCCCCCUUGGAAUCUGCAGAGCACUCAGAAUGAGUGGAUAAAAUACAUGCAUAUUGCAGCACACUGCGUCACAAUUUAUAGGGUCCCACAAAUACUGGGGGGGGGGGGGCAGGCCCUGCUUCCAUUUUUUCCCCCGUUACAAAACAUCCCCUUGAUGUGCAUUUAUAAUCCGCAAAUAUACUUUUUUUUCCCUUCAAUUAAAACCGUGAUCCGUGAUCAAAUAAAUAACAUAUUUUAUUACAAAUGUUGGUGUAACAUGUAUUACGCCUUUGCAUUAUUUAUAGAAUGAUAGCUAUCUAUACAUUCCUAUUAUCUGUUUAGAACAAGAUAAAUAUGUGUUACCCAACUAGCUGCUCUAUAAUUCAGUUUUUCCUCUGUUCUUCUCAUGCAGAGUAACCAGACCCAGCAUGAAAUGUGAAGCAGUGAAUUUCAUUGAGAUAAUUGCAGUGAUCAGCCCAUAAAAUAUGUUUAGGCAGCCUGGCUAUUUCUGCUAUUUAAUGGCAGGUAAUUCAUUUGAUGAAAUGUUAUCUAGCCUUCUUGAGAAGAAUUGGAGUGACCUCUUAAAGGUCAACAGUAAUCAAAACCGUCCCAUUUACACCUUCCUGCUCUACAUUUAUGGAAGCUCCAACAUAGAUGGUGUGUGAGAUGUCUCUAUAAGAGCUCUACAGACAGCAGAAUCAAAUACGUUUAUGAUACAAGGGGUUUGUAUCAGGUUAUCCAAUGCAUUUUCUACUUGCCACAAAUGAGUAUCCCACAGAAUAUUAAUAGGACAGAGAGCAUUCCCACAAACUGGGCUAUGAUGCCAUUUCUAAAAUACACCGUUGUCCAUUCAAUCUUUCUAUAUCAAAAUAAAAUGAUCAGAAAAAAGAAAUGGCCACACACUUAUCGAAAAAAAUUAAAAAAAAUUAAAAAAAUAAACUGCUGGAUACAACGCAUUAUUUUUAAACAUAGUGGGAUCUUCUGAAACAGCACGUAGAGCUUUUAUAUGUGUGUGUUAAAUUGUCAGAUAUUUUAUUGUAGAGAAAAGAUUUUAACCCAUUUGUGACAAACAGUGUGUCCUGGCAGUCAUGGUAUAUAUAGAUUAUCCAGAGGCGUGGUCAUGAUAAGGUUAAACUGGGAUUAAGUAGAGAGAUUUUACUCCUAAAUGAUCAUCUACAGAGCUCAUUCAGCGUCUAUUAAGAAUAAUGCAGACAAUCUCUUUCCAAAUGCAAAUUCCUGUUGUACAACAAUUCCUGUUGUUGUAUUGGGGGCUCCUCCUCCGCAGGGAUGGCCAAAAGGUAGAUCCCCAUCUGUCACACAUCUCUCAUGGUGCUAUGUGAACUGGGGGUCUACCGUUUGCCCACUCUUGCAGGGUUAUAUUUGUGAGCAGUAUUUGUGCGUUUGAAUGUAAGCAUGUUUUUUGUAUACAGUAUGUGUGUGCAUGUAGGGAUGUAUUUGUAUGUACUGUUGCCAUUGGAAUGCGGUGGUGUGCUUGUGUUUAGUGUUUACGUUUGAAUGCAGGGGGGUAUUUGUAAGUAGUAUUGGUUUUUAAAUGCAGGUGUACAUUUCUGUAUAGUAUUGGUGUUUGAAUGAAGGGAUAUAUUUGUAUGUAAUGUUUGUGUGUUGUGUUUGCAUGUUAUAUUGAUGAUUGAUUGAUGGGAUGUAUGUACAUACACAUAUACUUACACAAAUAUACAUAAAUAGGCCUCUUCUUCCUCCUGCGGCUCUUGUUGUAUCUGGGAGGAAGUGACAGGCUCUUGCUUCCUGCCAGCUUUGGUGAUAUUAGUGGGGCUUGGCCUCACUGUUAAGGGCUGCGGUGCAUGACCCUCUUCAGCAAUACUUAUCGGGUUGCCCUAAGUAAAUGGUGCCGGUGCCACCACACAGGCGGUAGCCCUGCCGCUGAUCAACCAGAUCACUUCAUCUCAUUUUAACCCUUCUUCCUGCCAGCCAGUAGAGACACUUCCACCUCCAGAACCGAGACAAACACUGUCCUGCAACCAAAUGCUAUUCAUAACAGUCUUUGAUUGGAGGAGCGUGGCACUUGGCAGCGCAUGCGUAUCUCAUCCACCUUGGAUUGUACAAGAUAGUGGAAUACACUACUAGACAUGCUGACAUCUUCAGAGGCAACACGGCAGCUGCAGCAAAGGAGUCUUGGUGCUGCAAAUGAGGGGAGCAAUUUGUAUUUAACUUUAUUUUUUUAUCAGCAAAGAGUGGUGGACAGUGGUCACAGUGAUAGACGAUUUAUCACAAAAGAGAAGACUUUAUCACCAAGUAAUACAUUUCGCUCAAAAUGUUGUUGGCCUUUCAUUACCAAGUCAUAUUACUAUACUUCAUAUGGGCUUUUUGAAUAUUACUGUGUGAUGCUAAACACAGAACGCCUGCACUACUUGCUGACACGGCCAGGGGUCCUCUAGUACAGAAAAAGAACACGAUAAGAGUUUGAAAAGGGAAGUCUAAAAAUAUAACUUAUUAGUGUGUAGCUUCCAAGGAUAGUUAAUAAGAAUUGUCCUUAGUUGCUCAUCAUCUUUAAAAGUUUAUUACUAGUAUAAUACUCAUUAAAAGUUUUGCACAGCCGUUACCCUGCAGCUAUGGAGAGCUGCCUACACAUGCAUAAAACAAGUACUUUCAAAAUGAGUUAAUAAAAUAUCUAAUACAACAUCGAUGUUAGACAUUAUGAAACCAUCAUCAUUUUUCUAUGGGCAAGCGGGUCCAAAACUUUCCAAAUCCAAGGGAUAAUACUUUGCCUUGGCAGUCGGUCAGUGAAUGCUAAACAUAUACUAAAUUUGGAAGAAAAUCUAAAAAGCAAUUCAUGAUUUGAAGGUCAACAAUAGAACAAGAAUGAAUUCAGAACUCCAAAUUCAUGCCUUUAAUGUUAUUGGUGUUUACAAGGACAGGAACCCGACAAGACAUCAACUUGUAACAUUCAACCAUAGACUUGAUGGUACAUGUCUCCUGGGACGACUUCUUUUGCGUUGGGUUACCAGACCCCCUAGACCAUAUCAAAGCAUAGUCCUGUGCCACUCAGGGAUUUCUUAAGCCAAGAGUGCUUCCUCAGUAACACAUUAGCUACAUGUCUCUUUUUGUUGUGAAUCAGGACAACUGAAUGAAACUUUUUAAGGCACAGAACUAAAAUUAAAUCCUCACGAGCUAAGCAAGGGAGCAGACGUGCUGCUGUGGAGCUCUGGCAAACCACACGGCUAUAAGGAGUAAAUUGCCAUGGAGAUUCACCAAAUUUCACACAAACUACAAGCCUGCAUAAUUCAGAACCCCCCUAGAGAGAAAUGGGAUGCAAAAAUCGCAAGCUGACUCACUCGGGGAGCGCUAAACAGCCAGACAUCCGAGUGUCCUUUGAAAGGCCACAACAGCCCAAGAUGGUGGCCACAAGGUCUCAAGACACUAGUUACUGAGACGAGUCUCUGGAAGAUGACAACUUCGCGCCAGCAAGAGCCCUGAGCAGUGUACGUGGUAGCGAGGAAUCAGACUCCGACACCUCAUCUUCCACCAAAGGCGAUAUCAAAAAACUGUUAGUGGAUUAGAGAGAAGUAUGGAAGGCCAACCUGGCUGGCAUAUGCACCGAAGUCAACGGCCUCACUGCAAGGGUAAAUGCAGCAGAAUCCAGAGAAGGAAAGAGGGAGCAAGAGCUCACAGAAACUCAAGCCCAAAUAGAGACAAUAACACAGCAAAUCCAGAGGCUCACACGUGCAGUCACUUCAUUGGAAGCACGACACUGCAAGAAAAACGUGGGAUACCCGAAAGAGUGGGCACAGAGACUAUCCUAGAUUUUGCUAACAAAGUGGCAACAGCACUGGGAGUGCGGACCGCAGCGGGAGCCGUGCCAGUUACAUCUGCGUUCCGAAUACGAAAAAGCCCUGACGACCCCACGGAUGCGCCCAGGGAUGUCAUCGCGGUCACCAGGGACAUCUCAAUCAAAUCUGCAAUCCUAGCCAGAUCGAGGAGUACCCCAGACAUCAGGGUAGAUGGCUGCCCAGUCCAGAUACAUGACGACCUGCCAUUCAAUGUCCUUUUAGAGAGGCGGAAAUUCAUGCCCGUAACGAAAGAACGUGACAAUUGGAUCCGUUACAGAUGAGAUGCUUUGAGCACCCUGGUGGUGCAACGGAGAGACACCAUCCUGACCCUCUCAGCACAGGAAGACCCAGCCGGGUUCCUAAACACACUUCAAUUGCCGCGGUAGGCCCACUCUGCAACAACCGCAGAAAUAACCACAGCAACUGAAGGGGCCAACCCGGCACGGAAACGGAACAACGAGGUGGGAACAAUGCGGAGAAAAUCAAGAAUGCAGAACCCACCAUAGUCCCGCUCGACAAAUGAACGGUUAGUGUUGCUAAAACCAUCCGGGACUUGCCAAAACUCGUAACAUACUCCUGCCAGUAAUGGACCCUAAUAUGCCAAAGCGGAUACUGUAGAAUACCUCCAGAUGGAACUCUGUUGCAUCGGGGACAAGACUUUCCUUUACCCUUUUUGGACUCACACUACAGGAUGCCAAUGACAUGCCAGGAUGUUGACCCAAGGGGGAGUGUUGUCGUAAUGCUAGGUUUUCUGAUUACACUGGGAGUGCACUGUGGGCUGCAGGGUGUACGGAUCGGAGACGACGGGACUAGCAGGGUAUGGGGUGCCCUUCCCUGUCAGUCACCAUGACCAGAAUAUGGGGGACCGUCAGGGGAGCCCACACCACAGUGAGGGGACAUGCCUCUCUUUUUGAUAACUAGCCUGGCCUUAACCUCCAACUUUCUGCCACAAUUGGUACAUGACAAGUCCCAUUGGUGACUGCGCCAUGCCCGAGAAAUUUAAUAUCCCGAUCACACAAUCAAGGAACCGAGAAUCCCUUUGACUAGACUACACUAAACUAACACGACAGAGCCUGGACCAAAUUGAACCAAGCCAACAGCCUGUACACUCACCGACAGGUCCAACACGAGAAGAGCUUACUGAUUCUCUCUACAAACAGUGCUGUGCCCACCCAAACAGACACCCCGUAAGCGUUAACCUGCCAAAAUACCCAUGAUUGUAUAUAGAAUACCAUCAUACUCUGAAACCUCACCGACAGAUAAUUUAGUCACCUACUUCAAUUUAAAAGUUUACCACCGACAAUCAACAAAACAGGGUCCCCGUAACCAAUUUGUCUUAUUGCCUCUAAGUUUAGAGUGAUACCAUACACUUACAUAGAACGUUUACUCUUUAUGCCAUGUCAUGUUUGUCACACCUGUCAAAGUUAUGCUUGCAACAGCUGUUGUGGCUGAGCAAGCCCAUUGUUAUUUUGUGCACAAUUAAAAUCAAAAUAAAGAAUUGAAAAAAAAAAAAAAUUAAAUCCUCACACCUUUCUUUUUGAUCUGUCCCCUCCAAUAAUAUGAAAUAUUUCAAAAUGUGAAGCAAUUUCUAAAGCAAAAUGAGUGCUGAGAGAACUGCAUGGAUUAAAAAGGUCAUCUAAUCUCAGAAAGCAGCCGUUGCUAUUUUCAAGUUAUUACAAGGAUAGGAUGAGAACAUUUAAUAUUGUGACUUCUGAGUUUAUAUACAGAAUAUACAAUAUUGAAUUUGGUUAAUUCACCAAACUAGGAAUUGUGUAUAAUUGACUAGAACAUUUUGGAGUCCUUUGGACUUUUUUCCCCACAAUUUUCCACUCUAACAUACUAAAUAUUUGACACAAGGUGCAUCCUUUUGCAUUUGUUUUUUUUUAACGUACAGUAUUAGUAGUAUUAAUUUGACAAGUGUAUAUAUUAAGUUGCUCAUACAGAAGCAAGACCUAUCAGUCUGUAUAAAGUGAUUCUUAUCGCCUUGGUCGGAACCCAAUGUUGGUUCUCCAUGCUAGUUUAACAGAUCCCCAGGAAGACCCAUUGACUCUGGCAUCCAAUUGCGAUGUUUUGCAGAGUUUGUUAAUAUUGUAGGAUUACUGCGUAAAUUGAAUUAUAGGUCACUAAACAAAUCCUGUAUAUGUAAAUUGGGUCAUCGAUAAAAAAAUGUUAAGCACUGCUGUAUACAAAAUUUCACAUUGAGAAAACACAAAGAAAAUAUAUUGUAUAAAAUCACAUAUAAAAUUACUAUAAAAUUACUUCAAUCAGGUUUUUUACUAGAUAUUAGCAGGUCCUCUGCAUUGAGAAUGGACAUAAGUAUGAUAUAAAAAGCUGGUUAAGAGACCUAAUCAUGUGAAGCAUUAGCAUAAAUUGACUUGAGAAAUAAUUUGUGAGAUUUCUACAGACCUCAGACCAAACUUUAACUAUAGAAUUAAUCAUAAAAUCAGGUACAAUUUUAGCAAUAAAAGGGUUAUUGUAAAAGGUGUUACAGAGGUUAAAUACCACGCAGCAUCAGUAUGCCCACGAUGUACAGGUCUUGAGGGACAUCUUGGAGGGAACAACCAAAUACAAUGUAAUACUAUGUAACGAGCCCAGUUUCAUGGUAAAGUAUCGAUGAGGAAGAUGACAUGUCUGUAGAAUGUAAAAGCUAUAGAGUAGAGCGCCAAAGUACGAUGCAUAAAAGACAAACAGGUCAAGUACAGAUAAGUUACAAGAAGUGAUAUUUUCUUAUUCGGGAGCUAAAAAAGGUUUCCCUAUAACUGAAAGCUGUUUAGAUCAGAGACCCCAAGUGGCCAACUGAAAGGACAAAUGCCAUUUGUACAAGCCGUAAAUAAUUACAUUCAAGCAAGUUAAUUUCUGCAGAAAAGGAUUAUUACCAUUCCUACUUGAUGAAAGUCAAAAUGUGAGAUCAAUUCUAGAAAAAUCUCUACAAAGAAAUGCAUUUGUACCCAAUAGAAUGUAUUUAUGACUCGAGGCUCGUAGACUAAAGACAGUCCUGGCCUUGUGCCAGUGGAACAGUGCUAGGUCUGUUCGGGGCUUAACCCUCAAAAUUUGUACAAUAAAAAACAAAGGAAGAUUCUGUUCCCACAGAAGAUUCCUACCUAGUGGAUUUAUACAAUAUAACACAGUAUCAAGGCUACAGAGUAAAUAUUUAAAAAAAAAAUUAACCCACACCCAAAUGUGCACAAAAACUAGCUGUUCCUACUUCAGCAAACCAAUGAUAAACACAAUGUGCAACUUAUAGUCAGAUGGAGUACCUCAAAAUGGCCUUUUCUGUUCUCUGAAUUAGAGUGUAUAGAAAAUGCAAGAGCAGAUACAUUGCUUGUGAAGACCAAAAAACAGUGUAUAAUUUAAAGGACCACUAUAGGCACCCAGACCACUUCAGCUUAAUGAAGUGGUCUCGGUGCCAGGUCCAGCUAGGGUUAACCCUUUUUUUAUAAACAUAGCAGUUUCAGAGAAACUGCUAUGUUUAUAAAUAGGUUAAUCCAGCCUCUAGUGGCUGUCUCAUUGACAGCCGCUAGAGGUGCUUGCAUGCUUCUUACUGUGAAAAUCACAGUGAGAAGACGCAAGCGUCCAUAGGAAAGCAUUGUGAAUGAGGAGGAGAGGAGGCGGAGAGGAGGUGGAGAGCUCCCUGCCCGGCGCUGGAGAAAGAGGUAAGUUUAACCCCUUCCUCUCCCCAGAGCCCAGCGGGAGGGGGUCCCUGAGGGUGGGGGCAUCCUCAGAGCACUAUAGUGCCAGGAAAACGAGUAUGUUUUCCUGGCACUAUAGUGGUCCUUUAAACUCAUGCUGCUGGCCAUAUCUGCUUUAAGCUCUUGCUAUUAACCGCAACCGGUAACUCGCAGCAGCAGCUGCUAAUUACCAAGUAGUUUCCAACAUUGUCACAUUUCUUUUCCACCGGCUCACUGCAUAUAAUAUCUUCCUGUAAAGAUACCGACCACCUGCCAAAUAGCCACUUGAUGGUAACGGAGGGUAGGGGAUUUCCCGCCCCAUGAGACAGGUGGCAGGGGGGAACACACUGCACCCCCUCCUGCCUGAGCAGUGACCUGCCUACCGGCACCUUGCUUGCCUAGGAGUCACAUUGCACAGGGCAUCAAUGGAGCUGCUGGCAUCACACUGUACUGUAUUCCCAGCUCCCUCGAGCGCCAUGUUCUGUUGAUGGAACCAGGAUAUGACAUCAUCCCAGCCCCAACAGUACAGAGAUGGAUCCCAGCAUCACCUCCAACUAGACCUCAGAAAUGAGCUGCCACUCCAGCUCUCCGUGUCAAGGUUAGAACAUGGAGGCUAAGUGGACCUCAGUGUUACAAUAAAGAAAAUACUUUUUUAAAAUUCGUUUUUUUUAAAAAAAAAAAGUAAUUGUGUGUACUAAAGGAAUCAGGAGUGUGUAUAUGAAUGUGUGUGUGCACAUGUGUGUGUGUAUGAAUGUCUGUUUUUGUACAUGAAUAUGUGUAUGGGUCAGUGUGUGUAGGAGUCUGUGUGUGUACAGACUCCUAUACAAUAAAGCGCUGAUUAAUAUUUUAUUUCUUCCAGCUGAACAGUGGAUAAAUAUUUAAGAUUUUAUAUGUGAAUCACUAUUUCUGUGACUAAAGAAAUUGCUUCCUGACCACUGAUGAGGUCUUAACCGUAGGGUUUCAUAAAAAACCCAGACAUUCUCAUGCAAAGCACAUUUUGUUAGGGACUGCACCCAGGAAAUGUUAUUUUAUAUCUAAAAGAUGAACAUAUAUUGAUUACAUAAUCACAGCGAUGAUUCUUUUUUUUCUCCUUCAAUCAAGCAAAUAAAAAUGUAAGAAAAUGUACUUUUCUGAGUAAAGAAUCAAACUAUCUAAAAAAAAAUAUAGACAUGAGAUACAGAAUAAUGUGUUCUAGUGUUGCAAAGGUUUACAGACACGUGAGAUUGUCAAGACCUUAUCAAUGAGAUAUUGGGCUGAACAAAAUGGAUUUGAAAGUGUGUAUAGGACCUAAAAGCGUGACUUUGGGGAUAUUUUUGUUCUGCGUACAUCUUUUGCACAUCAGUUUGUGCUGAUCAUUUUUCUUAGAAAUUAUUACGACAAAUUGUUAUGUAAGAGUUAUCUUCUUUUUUUUUUUGUAAAGAUGCAAUCCUUUAUAAAACUUUGUGGGCGUCAGUGGAAACAUGUAACAUCAAAGAGACACAUUGUCUUUGUAAUUAUAUUCUAAGGUCAUAUUAGCAUAUAAGUGAUUGCCGUGUGCAUGACUUGUGCCCCGUACUACACAAUGCAGUGUAUCUACUGGAAAUAGAAUGAGAAUUUUGCUCUAAAGCGAAGGCCUAUGUUGGCUAGUGAAUUUUGGAAGGACAAGCCCUCCUGUUUAAAUCACAUGACUCCUGCUCAUCUCUAUUCCUUAACCAUCCCAUAAGCAACUCUUAUAGCUCAAUAAAAUUAUAUUCUAGGGCAAUUAUUCUGUAAUUUUGAAAUGCACGAGUUUAUUUGCAAUGAGUAAAGCUUAGAAUUGGGAUUCAUAACAGCCACAGAGAGACUUAUUCUUUUAAAUAGGGGAGCAGUCUAAUUGGGCUUUAAAUUGGCUAGUGAAGUAAUUGCUGCCUUCGUACUGUCUAUUAAAUCCAAUGCAGUGCCAUAUAUUUUAGUUAAUCCUCUUUAGGCUCACAAAGCCUGAUACUUUGCAUUCUGUGUAUCAUAAUCAUUGAGUCUCUUAUUACAAUUGCCUAUGGUGUACUCUGUCUUUCUGAUACUCUUAUGAGAUCUUAGCAAUGUUUCCAAUUAGUGAACAGUUAUGCAACUGUGGUUCUCUUGCUUAAUGAAACAUAUUUACUAGUCUCCAAUGCUUGCUGAUUUCACGGUGCUGCAUGAGAAAGUAUGUAUUUACCAGUGCUGGCACGUUACAGAAGUGUUAACAUGCACUCGUGUUGGUUGUUUCCCAUAAUCUUUCAUGGGCCCCAGACUGAUCAAGAAUUAUGGGAGUUGGGAUUCAAUAACAUGAUCGCAAUGCUCUCAUGGCAUUUGAAGAAAUGUAGAUUUAAUUAUUUUCUAAUUUUCUUUUUCUCUCUACUACUCGGAAAACUGAUCAAGGAUUCUUCAGCCACUAAGGUUGUUGCCCCCUCAAUUAGAGGCUGGGGAGGGCUGGACACUUGUGGACUGGGGGUCAACUACAAACAGCCCGAUAAACACUAAUCAGUACAUGGUCCCAUCACACUCCAACCCUUACCUUAAUAUUAUAUAAAAUGGCUUAUGCGACUAUUGCAAGAUAGAAUAUUACAAUCAUAUAACAUAUUAGUAUUGCACUGUGAGGUAGAUCUAUUGAUGGCGAGAAAAAUCAGUUGUGUCUGUUAGUGAGUGUAUGUCAGUGAGUGUCUGUCAGUGUGUGUCUGUCAGUAUGUGUCUGUCAGUAUGUGUCUGUCAGUAUGUGUCUGUCAGUAUGUGUCUAUCAGUAUGUGUGGGUGCUCGAUCGUGUGGCUGCUCGUCUAUGCUAGUCUUAUUAUAAAUUAAAUUCACCAAAUGCAUUUAAUACAUCAUUUAUCACAGUGAUAAAUUAGGUAUUCAAUGUACAAUGUAUUGUAUUAGGCAGUAUGUGUGUAUGGAUGUAGGUAUUAGGCAGUGUGUAUUUAUGGAUGUAUGUAUUAGGCAGUGUGUGUGUAUGGAUGUAGGUAUUAGGCAGUGUGUGUGUAUGGAUGUAGGUAUUAGGCAGUGUGUGUGUAUGGAUGUAGGUAUUAGGCAGUGUGUGUGUAUGAAUGUAGGUAUUAGGCAGUGUGUGUGUAUGAAUGUAGGUAUUAGGCAGUGUGUGUGUGUAUGAAUGUAGGUAUUAGGCAUUAUGUGUGUAUGGAUGUAGGUAUUAGGCAGUAUGUGUGUAUGGAUGUAGG